GAGGCCAUGUGGAAAGAAGAUAAAGAAUUAAUUGAAUAUUAAAAUUUCAGUAUUAAAAAAUUGAAGCUGAUAUAAUGCGAUUUUUUGAAGUUUUUCAUUUGAUUAUUAGUUUGAGGUGGCGCAUGCCUAGAAACAGCUAGAAGAUAACUAAUGUUGAACACCAUCUAUGACAUAAAAAACAUAUGAAUCAUAUAAAAGCUUUGAUGAGAUAUUCAUCAUAAUUAGGAGAUGCUGACAUUUUAAAGUGGGAAAGUGCUCAAAAUCCCGACAACGUAAUACACCAUAAGAAUAGAAAAGAAUUGUGACUAGAAUCACAUCAAUGAUCAUUGAAGUGAACACCAAUGUAUGAAAAGUAUCACAAAUACUGUUGGAUAUGUUUCAGGAUGCACAAGUUUGACAUCCAAACAAGUAAAUAAAUAAACAUAUCAGGAUUUCAACAUUCUGAAAUGCACCAUCAGCAUAUCGAAAACUCCCACAAGUUCAGUUCGCACAGCCAUUCAAAGUUUAGAACAAAAACAAAAUGAAUAACCAAACAAACAAAACGAAAUAAAUCGAGCCAUCCACUGCAAUUCGGUCCAUCGAGGACCCUGAAGGUGAACUCCUUCUCGUUUGAUGAGCAAAUUCCGUCACCAAGUCGUGGUGAUGGGGUUUCAAGGGAGGCAACGAGGUCUCUCCUCCAUCGCUGCACAAAUCAACACAUCCGCAUUUCAAAACUGAGCAGAGCCAUGCAUCGCCACCCCUUCAAGAAGCACUGUUCCAAACCCUGCUAAGCUGAGUGUUGUAAAGGAGCGAAGAUGGGAACUUGGGGGGUGGGGGUGGAAGUUGGGAAUCCAGGGUGAGACUGGAGUGAUGCCUUGGAUUACAGAUAACAAUGCUCUAAUUUAUCUUUUUCCAGAAACAAGUUCUCACAAAAGUACGACGUCGGAGUGUCGCAAUGGUGGCCAGAGCAAGCGAUGGUGGGGACAGUAACACACAUGUCGAGGCACUCGACCCCACCGAACUAUCCCAGAACCAUCUCUCAAUCCACCCACCCCACCUUGUCCUCCGGGUCCCAUCUCCCCUCUUCGUACCGAUUUUCAAACGACCACCUCUAGCAACUCCCUUCCACCCCCCUUCCACCCCCUGCUUGAUCAACUUCUGAGGAACUUCUAUAAUAAUAAUAAUUAUUGUUGAAUUCUUGCAUUUAUUUCCCCCGUGCUCCCUCUCCGUCCCGAUCCACACAUGGAACUCAUGCCUGACUACCAUCUGUGACGAUCCUUCCAGCCUCCCAUCCAGUGAUUGCUUUUACCGGGUAAAUCUCGUAAAACAAUUCCUCAAAACUUGUGAGUCUGCUACACAGUCGAAGGGUAAGCAUUGGGAACUCAUUCCAACUGAAAUCAUUAGCCUGAAACUAAAUCAUCUCAUGCUGGGAGUAUGUUGCCACUGUUUGACCGGUGAAAGCCUUGGAUACUAUUAAUGUAUCACUUUCGUAUUACUAACGUUGCACGGUGGAAUCCCGAGCAUUGAUUGCAUGGUAUCUCUGGGCAUCGGAUGCUGUAAGCUGCAUAAAGUGUUUCUUGUCGUUACCCUACCUCCUUGCAACCGCAGUGGGCUCGCCAGACCUGACGAGACGCGUUUUUCAUGGAGAAGCAUUGCUCAAAUCAAACAAACACGACCACGUUACCAGGACUCCACCACCUUCCACCCUCCACUAAGUUUUCUGAUACUGCACUUGCAGUGCCUUCCCACCCUUGUGCACCCACCCAGCUUCGUAUUAAAAUGGCGAAUGCACUCUUGCUUGUCAACUACACACCGUUCCCAGAGUACCAUUGCCCACGCAGGUUCAUCGUCGACUUCGCACUUUGGCUACACUAGGCUUUGUUUGUGGGACGUCGUUGCUUCUACACAGUAGAACCAUUUGGAACUCCAGUAGCCGGUUAGAAGAUGGCUAUGGAGAGGAACUCCAGGAAAUCGGAUCAGGAUCGUGCCACUGUGAGUAAUUUGUAGGAGAACGAGUUUCAGCCGUUCCUGUUAUGGCGUGUAAUUAGUCACAUGGAUGUUGUGGAUUUUGGGAAGAUUGAAGAGAGGCAGGUGCCAGUUCUGAGCCAGUCAUUUCUUCUUGUUGCAACAGGGGAAUUCUUGUGCCAAGCCAAGGCGGCUAUCAAGGAACGCAUGGUUGCCAAGAGCAAGGGUGCAGUAUGGAAGCCAGUCCCAAAGAGAGGCGAUGUGAGUGUGAUCAUCACUUUUUUGAACCUCAAAACCUUUCAUCAAAUUGGCGAAUUUGUAUACAUUUCACCUGCAUUGAUAUGUCUGUAGCGGAGUCAUGCUGAAUUGUGUCAUUGUUGGACUUGAAAAGGUGAUGAAAAGGAUCCCCAUCGAUUUCAAAUAUACGAUGAAUGGAUGAGUUCCAACGUCGGAGACUUCACGCGUUGCUCCUGAUGGGAGUCAUGCUCCCUGUGAGGAGGAUGGCUAGACAUAAUUAAGGUCUUGGGGCCAGGAAUCUGUUCCCUGGAUUCACCUACCCCUGAAGCUUUGUGCAGUAUUUCAAGUGAAUCGGAUGCAAUGCUUUUAUGUAGUGACUUCAUAUGGAUAAUUCAAGUGGCAAACUUCUCUAGAAGGACGCAUCAAAAUUUCCUAUGCUGCACAAGAUGUGUCUUGCUCAGUUGAAGGAGAAUGUAUGCAUGUAUGGCUGUGUUCAGUUCUUUUCAAUUACACCCAGACAUGCCCGGUUCAGUCUUGUGUCCUUGGAUUGUGUUGGUGGUUCAUGUCAUCAACUCAGUGCGUAUUGCGAUACACUGCUGACGAGGACUUAUCCUGGAUCACUUGGUUAUUACAUUGCACACUCCGCCCCAGAGUACUAAAUUAGGUUGCACACAUGAUACAACAUGUUCAGUCCAAGACAAAAGACUUGGCAGUUUGGUGUUCUUAAUAGUGUGACUAACCCAAAAGGAAUCAAAGGGCUCCACUGGGUUGUAGGACUUCAAGGUGUAACUGUGAGGUGGUAAAAGAAAUAUAAAUCACACAACUCUUCACGCAAGGUUAACAACAAGAUUAUGAGUUGUGCAGACCAUGCAAAGAUUUCAUAAAUCGUGCAUCUUUCAGAACGAAAGAUCAAGGUUUCAAUAAAGCCAUGCUGAGGAUAUCAAAAGGCCAGAUCCGUUAAGUUCCAUACAACUUGAGUUUCGAAGUUCACCACAUAGCUGGUCAGAAAUGUGAAUCGACUGUCUUACGCCUGCAAAGGUUGGAUAGCAGUUAAACUCAAUCAUCAUCAAUGUGAAGGACUGGGACGCUCGUCUGCUAACUGAAUGUUUCUUCUGUUCCAAUGCAAGCUUUCUCGCACGCUACGAAGAAAAUCACCACUCGAUUCUUUUUCACACACGGCAGGAACAGGCCAUUCCGACAUACGCACAAUCAAGGCAUCGCCUCCCCAAAGCUGUUGUCGCCCCUUACCAUCGAAACUGGCCCAUGCCUGACCCCUGCAGUUCAAGGGUAACUGCCCCACAAAAAAAAUACAAGACCAUGUUGUCCUCGUCAAUACAUUUAUCCAACUUGUUGGUGCGAUGUAAACAGUUGUCAUUGGAGGAAAACGAAUUAAUAACCAGCCAGUAUUUGGAACCUUGAGUGAGCAACCUGUACCUGAACACGCAAUGUUACAUAAUCUGGCAAAAUCAGUGGCCUGAAUGACAAAGAAUGUGGACAAAUUGGUGUGAAAAGAAUGCCUGGCACCUGCACCGAGACACACACUCAUUAGAAGUCUUUCAAACCCUCGCGAUGGAAUACAUAUUCAGAUUAUGCUUUUCCCUUCCACAUCAGGAGAAACGGGGUUCCUUAGGAUUCGAUCUUGAGAUCAUACUGCAGACGUUCAAGUAUAGAAAAACCCGAAUUAGUCGUUUUAGCUUUUACAAAAAAAAUAAAUAAUAAAUAAAUAAAUAAAGAGGUCUUAUGACAGUAGUGAGCAGCAUGGCACAUAAUAGAUUCAAAUUUAGGAGCGAAGCUCAUAGUAAAAUACCUGUGGAUGGACAACUGAACCUCCGGCAGCCAAAGAAUAUGCUGUACUUCCUGAUGGACUUGAUAUGAUUAAACCAUCACCUUGCACAAUGGUAACAAAGUGCCCAUCACAAAAGCACUCCAAAUUUGAAAGAGCUGAUGACAUGCCUCUAUCAAUAGAAACCUCAUUGAGGACAAGAUAUUCGGCAGAUUCCGAGCUGGUGUUGUCAUCUGUCUCACGAUCGUGCCGGAUGAUCUGACAAUGAAGUCGAUGUCGCAAAGUGAUAUAUGCCGGACCUUUCAUUAUUGCUUGUAAACUUUCUCUGUACAUACUGCUUUCUGUGGAGUAAACAAUUAAGGAUUUCACUGCACCUAACAAAUUCGGCCCUUACAGAAAAUCGGAAUUUUCUGUGGAUUUCAUAAGAACAUCCAUUAGAAGAAAGAAUUAUCACUAGCCAGGAAACAAGUAUUCCUCAAGCGUUUCCUGAACAGAAAAAGAGAUUUUUUUUUAAUCUACAGCAAAGAGUGGAUACGGAAUUUCGUCAUGAAGCCUAGAGAGCCCAUGGAGAAGGCCACCAGUGGAGGCAUAGGACCUUUGAACAGUGACGCAGCCUACAGCAUCACAACCCAACGUGAUUAGUACAUACAUCCAGCAUCCUUAGACUAUCCACACAGGUGUCUGUCAUACACUAUCAAAGGAUGUGAUAUACUUUCCCGCCGCACUCACCAAUCCUUUACACUUAUCACAUGGACUUCCACCACGUAAACCCAGCAGCAUUUAUAAGCUUCUGUAAUAUGGUCAGCACCUCAAUUAAGUAAAUGACGGAUUCCAACCAAAUCAAACAUGUAACCAUCCAGGCAAAAACAAGACCUGUAAUGCACUUGAAUAUCCCGUCUCAAUCUGACCAAGAAAGAACAAAGAAAGGAUAAUUUUACCCAAAGCAUUGUUCCAUCACCACCCAAGGUGAUGACUAGAUCCACGCUCUUGUUGAUUGUCACCAGUUGUUUCUCUGUAGCAACAAGUUCACGUACAUGAUUUACACUUUAAUCAGUUGGGGAAAUUUUAUUCUACUUAUCUCGAAGGUUGAAUACCUAAAGUUGCUUACAUGCCAUCAAGGUCUACGAUUGGCCGUAGAAAGAGAGACUGUGCCAAGACGUAAAAUUCUAACGUGAAUUUCCUAAAUGCAAAACCGGGAUGACACUGUAAAUGAGCCCUCUCGGGUCUAGGGUAUUGAAACUAUGCGUGGUUCACCCUCAAGUACUGAUGAAACAUGAGAAUCACCGUUAUUGAAACAAGCAUCUUCAAACAUAUCCUCAAAAGAAGUACCUGUCUCACAUGUCUGAAUAAACUCAAAAUCGGCAUUCUCCUCCAUCAGUUCUGCCUUCACUCUUGGCUCCACGUAGAUUUUUGUAACAUUUUGUUCUCUGAGCCACCUGCAGAUCAAAGAUGACAUGCUCACUACAGAGCCACCAACAUAAAAGCAUUCGAAGUGCACUACUCGACUCGUUGAAGAAACCAUCUGCACAUGCACAUUCUCUGCAUGAUGUCACACUGCAAAUUGAUGACGAUCCAGAUGAUUCUCUGUCCUAUCCCGCAGCAAUGCUGCAAACACCACCAGAAUUUAAAUUCACUCACCACACCAUCUCUUCGCAAAGCUGCUGCACGGCUGCUGCGUUCGGCUUCAAAAGGAUGAACACUGAUGCGGGUGAAGAAUUCCAGACCAAAGCAAUCUAUCCACACGUUACAUCAAGGCUUAUGUGAGACUGAAGGAUGCUGUCCAAAUUAUAGAUCCAGCUAAAUCGUAGGAAACCAGUGUUCGGUCAAACCAAGGCCAAUGGCAUGAGCAUCAUCUCGAUCAUAUAUAUAUAUAUAUAUGAAGAGAGAGGGAGCGAGAGAGAGCGAGAGGGAGACUUCAUUGCGCCACCAUCAGAAAUGAAAAUACCUGUUUAUUGCUUCGGACUUCUGCAUUGAUGUCACCAUCAUCAAACGACACUAAAUCAUGGUUUUGUUCUUUUCUUCUCUCAUCAACAGGAUCCAAUGUGAGUGUAAAUGAUGCCUGAACCACAAAAAUAACCAUCUCCGUAAGUCCUUGAAAAUUAAUUUAGCAAAAUAGUAGAACACAAACUUCGAAUUGGUAGCAACUAAUGAUCAGACAAUAUGGCACUCACAUGUUGAACUGAUCAUAAACCAGACCCAACAAGAUAUUGGAUUGAAGUCGAUUCAGAUUGUUGAGGAGCAUGUCAGGCAAUUCGCUCGUGUACCAAGCACUCACAAUAUCUCAAGACAAGUGGCAAUUUCUUACUUCACCUUCUCAGAAAUUUUACUGUCCAGCUGUGUAUCCAAGUAUAAGUUGUUGAAAAGAUCAGGACUAUAGCUCAACACUUUCGAGUUUUGAAUGGUUUCUUUAUAUUGAAGAUAACCGUUUGACCGAGUUUGUGUAUUCUGUGGUGAUGAUCUAAACUCGGUAGCAUCAAUAUCGCCCUCAGAUAUGACGGAUGUGACUGAAAGAUUAUCCUGCCGUGAAGAGUCUGGAAAAACAUCUUUUAAAAGUGAGCUGUGUAAUCAAUGCACCAAUAGCCCUAUCAUGCGCGUGCACACACACACACACACACACACACACACACACGAUAAAAAUAAUAAAAAUAAAAAGAUUUGAUAGUGAUAGAAGAGAACAAAGCCAAGAAGGACGCACGGUCGAUCGAAACCUUGUAUUGAAAACUGUAGAGCCCUACCAAAUACAAAAGUGCGAAAGAAACAGUAUUCAAGGCAAUGAGACCGAUUACCGAGAGCUCUUGAUGCAAUACUACGCUCGAGUUGGGAAUUUCGAAGGAGCUCUAGUUCAUACUUAUGCUUCCAUUGUGCAGCCUCAUCUUGAGCUAGAGCCUUUUUCACAGCCACAUCCUCCAGGGCCUUUGCAACAGCUGUUGGCAUGUUGUGAAGAGUACAGUUGGAGACCAUCCAAUGUAAGUGCACGGAAAUAGCGUGAAAAAAAUUCCUUCAUCAAAGUAAGUGAGCAUAACAAGUGAACACCAGUUUUAAAGAGUACACAAGCAUUCAUGCGUGUCACCAGAGGAACAUAAACGUCCGAGAAGCUCGUGACCGUAACAAGACAGACUCUCAUCUCGCAGCAUCUGCAUAAGAGUUGCGAAAAGAGUUCAUCUAUAAAGAAUCACAAUUGAAGACGUACUCUGCAGAGCAUCUGAAAAUUCACUCAAAUGAUUCUUUUCAUCUCGGUUCGUAAUCAUGGCACCGACACCAUCAGAAUCAAGCCUUUGUGAUCGAAUGGCCAAGUUUUCAAUCUUCCCAUGCUCUAGCCGAUUCGGCGAGCUUGUGAGACCGAUUAGAAUCUGCGCCACCUCCAUGUUGUUGGACGAUCAAAUACGGAUAUUUGAGUAACUUACAUGUAUCUGGAUUAUUUGAACACUCAAUUACAGUUUCAGAACAAACAUUCAUGGAGCUCAACACAUAAAAUAAUAAAAUUAGGAGAACAAGACUCACUUUCCUCGGAAGCUUGAGGGAGUGCCGUCGUGUAAAGUGACGAGGUAAUCCGACAAGGUCACGCGGAAAAGAUUCACGAGCUACAGGUGUUCUCCACGCUACACAUGCUCCCUGGUCCCUCCCAGCACCCAGCUCUCCUUUGGUCAGUUGGUAAAACAUUCCAGUCAUAAUUUCGAUUGUGUUGACGCCCGUUGGUUGAUUAGCAAAGGGUUUAGUAUCUAGGAUUCACCCGUCCACUCUCCCAUCAGCAGUGAAUAAAGUAUGCUCUGUAGGGGAAUGGUGUAGGGCGUGAAACACGGCCAGUUGUGUUCGAAAACUACCGUUUUCUUUCAAGUUCAAGAGCAUGGAAAGUAGAGACGCACAUUCCAAGACGUGGAGGGUCGAAAGUCUGAGGAAAAAACCAAGAACCAGACUAAUUCGUAGGUUUCAGCAAAUAGAACAACAAGGCAGAAAUCAGGACGAGUCAUGAGAGAAAUAACCUGCGUUAGCACAUCCAUCGUGUGGGCGAAAAGAAAGCCGCCUCAACAACAAUAGCAAUGACAAGUAUCUUCAAUCCCUGCGCCACGGGCUUCUCAUCCUGUCUCCAUUUCCAUGACUGCCUCUCUACAUUUAAACUUUAGCAUCUACCAACACCAUCCAUCAGGGUCACUGAUGAAGAUCAGCACUAGGAUGCGUACUUUAUUUCCGAAUUACGUGUAAGCUAAUUGAUAACAGCUUGAAUUGAGCCCCAAUCACGGCCCGUUUGCAUAAAAUCCACAAUAAGAACUAUCAAGGAUGGUCUCCAGUACACACCCGAAAACUUCCACAAAACGGAUUACAAAGAAACCGUACCGGAAACCUAGAGAUCCCAAAGGAAAAACACUGAUGGAAAUGAUACGAUGUACUCAAUCGGCAGUCCUGCACUCCAUCAACCCUAUUUCAAGCAGUCGAUAGACAAAGCCAAUGCACUCACAAGAAAGCUCACUUUGUAGAACCCACAGCGGACUCAAACGAGGACAGGACCGUGAGAAGGCAGCGGAAAGGACGCGACGAAGGGGGGAAUAGGCAAAUAAGUUGACGGAUGAGAAGCGCUAGAACGCGAAUAGUUAAGCAAGGCGAAAACAGUGUGGCUCCACCCCCAAGUUAGCAAAACUGAUCGAAUUUCUGUCUGCGGCACACCUGCACGAGCCCUCUCUCUCAAAGCCCUCUCCCAGUCGCACGACGACGAACGAACGAACAAACGGACGGACGGAAGUAUGGACAGACGCAUUCAUUGUCCCGUAUCAGACGAACGAACGAUUGAAUAAAUGAACGAACGAACAAAUCGAUUGUUCCCGAAAGGACGCAACUCGAGCAGCAGGUGAGGCUGCACAGCUGUGGGUAAUGGACGACGGGCUGCUGCCCAGAAUAAAAAAAAAGGUACUAAAGGUCUCGCAUAACUCCUCCUCCUUCGCCUUCCCUCCCUAACCCCAUCCCAGCAUGCCAAGUGGCAUUCAGAUGCAACCUUCUUCUGGAUGUCGUUCUAAAGAAUCUUUCGUUGAAUUUUUUCAUCACACACACAUAUAUAUACCUCGAGUAAUAAACAUCUACUUAUUCAUUUUUCUCUUACUGCAACUUUUGUAACUUUUAUCACAAUACAAUAAAAGUGAUAUAUACAUGUAUUGUUUUGGAAUAGAAAAUAAAUAAUUUCAUAUUGAAAUUUCAAAUUUUCAGAAACUUAUUAUUUUAUUAUCACAGUAUGAUUAUUAUAAAAUGGUAAAAUAAUAAUAAUAUUUUAAAAAAAUUCUAAAUAUUAUUUAUGUAUCCAUUUAAAACAUCCUUCUAUUAUAUAUUUCAAAAUUUGAAGUUUUGUGGUGAGUUUGAUAUAUAACUUAUUUUAAAAAUUUGCAUAUUUUAUGUUUAUUUUUAACAUCUUUUUUGAAAUAUGUGUGUGCUAUAAUUUAGUCAUUCACUUCUUAUUUUAUUUUUAUAAUUUUUUUCUUUUCAUUUUUAUUUAAUAAUUUUAGAUAAGUAUAAAUCAUGUUAUUUUUUCUCAUUUUUCAUACAAAACAUAAUCUUUAAUAUAUAGUGUGAGUGUAAAAUUCACUCCUUAAUCCAAUUACAAAGUGGCCUCAAUUAAGAGUUGCUUGUAAUUGGUGGUGUGAAGUAGAAGAAGCAAGAACUAAAACAAAAGAAGCAAAACACAAAAACAAGUAAAACAAGUGUAAUCAAGCAAUUGUAUACCACAAAAGUAGUCACAGUCUGUUUAUUGAAUUUUCACCAAAUAAAAAGUAAAAAAUAAAAGUAAAAAAUAUAUUUUUUGAAAGGUAAUUUUUUAAUCUUUUCAAUGGUAUAAGAAACAUGUAAAUCCGAGUUACUAUUUUUUAAACCUUCAUAACUCGGAUCUAAAUAAAUUCUAAAUAAAAUCUAAAUAAAUUCUAAAUAAAUUCUAAAAAUUAUUAUAAUGGUUUUAUAAUAUUAAUAUUGAUUUAAAUCUAUAAUUUUCUAUCUUGAUGAUUUUUAUAAUAAUAAAAUCAAUUUAAAUCUAUUAUAAAUCAUAUUUUUUUAUAUAAUUAACUAAAAAGACAUGAGGUUCUUUCUCAUGCUUCUUCUAACUACUAAUUAAAAUUUAUAGUUUCUUUUAUAAGUAAUAUGUAUAGAUAGAAGGCUAAUAUAAAUAUUGACUUUAGUAAAUAUCCCUCAAUACUCAAUACUAAGUAAAUAAUACUAAAUCAACUAAGUUAAUUGCCUCCAAGACUCACUAAAACUCGAAUUCUACAACUAACACUCUAAUUUUCUAUUUGUCUAAAUAUUUCUAUACUAUUCACCAUAUAUUGUGGUUCUAAGCACUAUAAAUGCAUCUUUUUAUUCUAAAAUAAUUAGUGAAUCGAUUUGAUGACUCAUAUGUAGAAAUACAUAUAUAUAUAUAUAUAUAUAUAUAUAUAUAUGGAUAGAUAGAUAGAUAGAUAGAUAGAUAGAUGUUUCUGUAAAGUUAAAGAUUAUUAUGAAUAGUCUUUUUUUGUUGAUAUUAUAGUAAAUAAAAUUUUGUAAUUAUAUUUUCUUACAAAUAUAAUUAGAUUUCUUAUUAUUUUCCAUAUUCUCUAAUAGUCUAUUUUCUAUCAUUUAUGAUUUUUUUAGUUUUAUUACGAUUAUUUUUUAUAUUUUAAAUAUUAUAUUAAUUAUUUUUAUGGUUAUGAAAAUGAAUCUUUAUCUUUUAUUUUGAAAAUUACUUUUAAAUUUUUUUACUACUUAAAAUAUAAUAUUUAUUACCUUUUUGUUUAUUUAUUUGGAUUUUAUAUUUUUGCAUUACCUUUCUAAAAAAAUAAAUGUAUUAUUUUUUUUACUUAUUUAUUUAUUUUUAAGAUAUCUUAUUUUUAAAACAUUUGCAUAAUUAUAUUUGGUUUAAAAGUUAUACUUUUGAAAAGUAUAAAUGAAGAUGAAAGAAUCAUAAUUGAUCAAAAUUAUUCUUUUGGUCUUAUAAAUUAUAAAGACUUUAUCUUUCAUUAAAAAGAAAAGACAUGAUAAAAAAUAUUUAAUUUUUUUAAUAUAUAUUUUUGGAAUAUUUAUACUAAAUUUUAUUUUGUAUCAUAGAUUUUAAAAUAUUUUAGGUGAAUUAAAGAUUUGCAAUACAUAUCCUAUCAAAAAUUGUAUCUAAAGGAAAUUAAAUAUAAAUUAUAAUAAAAUAAAAUAAUAAUUUUGAUUUGAACAUAAUAUAUUUAUAUAUUUAUAUAUUUUUUUUAUAGUUUUUGUAGUUUUUUAACCUAUUAUCUUAUUAUACUUUAUAUGUAGAGAUAUUUAAAAAUUAUUUAUUUAUUUAUUUAUUUAUAUUGAGAUAUUAUUUUCUACAAGUAUUUAAGAUUAUUAAAAAGAUACUAAUUAUGAAAAAUUCAAAAUAUGGAUGUUUAUCUAGAUUUUUAAUUUAUCAAUUAAAACUAAAAUUUUACACUAUAAAAAUUAAUUUUUGGUUGAUGUAACAAUAUAAGAAUAAAUGAUAUGAUUGCAUGUGUAUUUAAUGAUAUUAUUUCUAUUAGAAAAAAAAUCUUAUAUAUACUAUUAAAGUCUUUAAAAUAAUAAUAUAUCUUUUAAAAAAUAGACUCGUGAAUUGAUUAAUAUAGAUACAGAUAUUUAUAUUAAUAAUUACAUAAAUUAGAAGACAUAAGUAGAAGAAAUAAAAAUAGAUAAUUUCAAUAAUAUCUUAUAAAGAAGCAUUGUGGACAUGGAUUUGACUUUCGAAGAGUUUGUAGAUGUUUGACAGAUUGAAAACUUGGCCAACAAGAUAGUCAUGUGUUGCACAUGUUGACUACUUAUUAUACAAAUUGGUCACUUAUUGUAUAAGUUGGCUAUGUGGUACACAUAUUAUAAACUUGUCUUAUAAGUUGAACUUAUGUUCCACAAGUCAAACAUGUAUUAGAUGAUCUGUAGAAUAUUGCUACAAAGCUCUUUAAUUGUUUUUAUUUUUAUUUUUUGAAAUAAAAAAAACCUCAUUGCUAUAGGAAUAAAAAUUACAAUUAAAUCAGAUGCAUAUAGCUUGGAUAAGAAUGAUUAACAUAAUAGACACUAUUGAAUAAAUUUAAGCUACUAUUAUACAAUCAAACAACAUUGACCUAAAGAGGGCCAAAGUCAUCUAAUUAGUCGUAGUUGAGAAUCACUGGCCCUACUUAGUUGCUCAAUUAUGGGGCUUGAAAAACAAACCUUGCCAUCAAUUCCAACAAUACCUAUUGGAAGUUACCAUCUAACAUAGAGGCAAAAUUUUCUUAGAAUCACUAUUGUUUUUCAAACCAACAUAUAAAUUUUAUAUUAACUGCUACUUAAAAUUUUUGGUGUUUGUAAACUAUUGACCAUUUGACAUGACCAUAGUCAAGGAUCUUGAGUCACAUAGUCUGUGAUAGUUUAGUCAAGUACCACCAAAUGUUGUUAAAAAUUAUAUCAUUUUACUCUUUCUACAACAUCUAUAAAAUUAAUAUUUUGAAUUGUAACCAAAAAAGAGUGAACUAGUCAAAAUUAUGAAAAAUUCUCUUUAAGAAUAGCCCCUACUAUCAAAAAAAUGAUUGCCAUGGUUAGUAUGCAUCUAUACUAUAUGUUAAUGAAUUGAGAAUACAAACCUCUAUUUCUAAGCUUAUUAGGCAAGUAUGCAUUUUCAAAAGCAAUGUAGAAUUAAUUCUUGAAAAUAAUAUGAAUAGAUAAGUCAUCAAAGAAAUAGUGAAUGGUCAAUUCUACCUCUCGAAGCAUUAAUCAUGUAGCAUGGUAUCAAAACAACUAUAGAAGUUCUAAUUCUUUGCUAGCAUAUUGUUUUAUGUAGACCAUUUUCAUUGUAGCCUAUAUAUUUUUGAAAGGAUAUCAAAAUAGGAUUGAACUUUUUCUAAGAUCUAAAAUCCUUCUAAUCCAUAGUAACAUAAAUUCCAUCACAAAAAAAGACAAAGAAAAUUAGUACAAAACUAAACAAAACCAAAUAGAAUAUAACAUGAAAGGCAAAAUAAAAUAAAAGUAAAUAGAAUAGAAUAGAACAAAAAAAUACAAAUCAAACUUUACUAAGAAAAAGGGACCAAAGCCAUACUUGACUAAUUACAAAAAUGGCCUUACUUAAUUCUAUUUAUACUUUAUUCAAUCAUUUUAGAAUUUUUUAGAAUAUUCUUAAUAGUAGAUCUUACCAUGAUAAUAUCUUGUUCUAGAAGGUUCUAAAAGUGGAUCCUAUCUAAUUAAUUGCCUUUCUAAAAGAUUUUAAAGAUAAGUUCUAUUUAGAUAAUCAUCCUAAGUUCUUUCUAGAAUGUUUUAUAGUAGAUCCUUCAUGGACCACCAACCUAGCUUCAAUUCUAGAAACUUCUAAAACCUUCCCAAAAACAACUCCAAUUACCUAUAUCUAUACAUCAAUAAUACAAAUAUCUGAUUCAUGCACUGUUAUAGAUGCUAAAUUAUUUCUUCACAAUAAAAUUAAAGAUGACAUAUUUAUCUUGUAAUAAUUUUUAGUUAAACUUUACAAAAUACUCCAUAAAUAAGAUAAUACCUUUUAAAUAUAGCCAUUGAAGCUUGAAGGAUUCCAAAUAAAGUUGGCAACUUUCCUAUAGAAAAAAAGUAUGGACUUCUCUUUUAGUUCUCUAUAGACUUGUAACACUUGGACCUAAUAGUGAAUACCUUCAAACAUAUUAUUAGUAUUUGACAUUUCUUUUCACAUCCAUUAUGAGGAUGGAAGUACUAAAUAUCUAAGAGUGGCUAAAUAAAAGUAAGUUUUGUUGAUGUGAUGUAAUAUAACUAAAUGAUAAAAAUAUAUUCAAAAUUAAAUUUCUUAUUAAAUAUCUAAUUAUCUUGGUUCAAUAAUAAUUUAAGAUAUUAAAACAUGGCUUUUAAAAAAGCCUUUUAGUUUAUUUUCUUGUCUAAAUAGUUAAUAGGUCAAAAUUUAGUUAAUAAUUUUAUCUUCUAAGAUAUAGAUAUUCUUUUACUGCUUUAGAAAGACCAUAAUUUAGUAAAAUCAUAUUUGAAGAGAUAAAUAAUUAGCAUAGUUGAUACUAGGAUUAAGUUGCUAGUAAGGUUGGGCUAAAAAAUCCUAGGAUAGAUUAGAUUGAUACUCAAGGGUCGACCAUUUGUGAGACAGGGACAAAAUUAGACCUUUAGUCAAUAAAAUGACCGCCUAGGAUAAAACACGAUUUCAUUCAAAGAUCAAAAAUUAAAAUUGGAGAGUUAGAUUGAAGCUUGUAUCAUAGACAUAAGGCUUAUUUUUAUAGGAUUUGAUUGGACUUUGAAAUUUUUAUUCAAAGUCACGAUUUGUAAUGGUGACUUGGAAUUUAUGCAAUAGAAUUAGGGCUAGCACUCUCAACUAGUUUGUGAAAUUGAUGUCACAUCUAUGGUUCAAAAUUUGACAAAGCUUGGUAAAUUUGGUGUAUUGAGUAAAUUUGAAUUUUUUUCAUAAUCCAACAGUGUCAUAUAAUAUAUUAUCUUGUUUGAAAAUGCACCAAGCACCUAGGUGAAGAAGGUGAGGGUAUAUUUCACAAAUAUCCAAGAGUUCUUAAUAGGUUUCACCCACAUGGAAAGAAUAUAACUCAAAUUUCAAUUCAAAAUUACUAAAAAACAUUCUUCUUAGUAGCUUCAAUUACACAUAAACCUCAAUUACCUUGUUACUUUCAUAUUUAAGUAAUUUAGAUUUUUUUUGUAAGCCCCAAUCAUAAUCAAUGAGCUUUGAUAAAUUAUAACAUCUAAUCUGCUUUUCCACUUGAUGUGAAAUUUUGCAUAAAUUUUUUAAUAUAAGUCUUCUAUACACUCAAGAAUUUUCAGCCCAAUCCAAUUUAUAGAUUUUGAGAAAACCUCCAAAAACUGCACUAAUAUCACUCAACUGCCAACUUGAAAGGUGAAGCAAAAGUUCCAGUAGUGAUUUCUCCUUCUCCAACUGUUAACUUCAACUUAAAAUUGGUGUGUAACUUGAUCUUCAAGUCCUUUCAUACCAUGCCAAAUUUCACCUUGAUCCAACUAGUAGAUCUCUAGAUAUCAUAGAAAUCCUACCCAACUCCAAAUUGCCAAUUUUUGGUAUGUUCUUAAAUAAAAACCCAAAUAUCUCCCAAUCGCAUUUUUGGAUUAUUACAAAAUUUUACAUUAAUUUAAAAAACCUAAUUAACCAAGCACUAUAAAAAUUUGAGCUAUAGAUGUGACACCAAUUUUAUAAACUAGCCAAGAGUGCUAGCCCUAAUUUGAUUGCAUAAAUUCCAAGUUGCCAAUACAAACCUUGACUUCCAACAACAAUUGCCAAAUUUCCUCAAAUCCUACCAAAAUCAACCUUAUGCCUCUAAAACAAGCUCCAACCUAGCUCUGAAAUUCUAAUCUCCGAGCUUUGAAUGAAACCCUACUUUGUCCUAGGCGAUCAUUUUAGUUGCUAGAGUUCUGAUUUCACCUUUGUUUCACAAAUGGUCGACCCCCUGAUAUCAAUCUAACCUAUCCUAAAGAUUUCUUAGUCCAAUUCUACUCUCAACUUAACUUUAGUAUCAAAUAUACUAAUUAUUUACCUCUUCUAAUAUGAUUUUAUCAAUUUAUGAUCUUUCUAAGGUAGUAAAAGAGUCUCUAUAGCUAGAACGUAAAAUUACUAUUUAACCUUCAACCUACUAACUAUUAAGAUAAGAAAAUAAUCUAAGAGGCUUUUAUAAAAGCCAUGUUUAAAUACCUUAAAUUAUUAUUAAAUCAAGAUAAUUAGAUAUUAAUUAGAAAUUCAAUUUUGAUUAUAGUUUCACUAUAUAAUUGUAUUACAUCAUGACAACGGUGUAAUUAAAAGAUAUCUAGGAUUUUGUACAAAAAAUAUCAAAAGUUGAUAGUUUAGGAUUUGAUAAAGUUUCUAUGAUAUCUAAAGAUCUAUUAGUUAGAUCAAGGUGAAAUUUGGCAUAAUAUUAUAAGACUUUGUCAUCAAAUUACUUACCAAUUUUGAGUUAAAUCUAAUAGUUGGAGAAGGAAAAAUCACUACUGGAAUGUUUGUAUCAACUUUCAAGUUGGUAGCCAAGUAACAUCAGUGUGGUUUUUGGGCGUUUUCUCACAAUUUGUAAGUUGGAUUGGAGUGGAUUCUAUAUAAGCACAUAGAAGACUUAUAUUGGCAUUUUUGUGCAAAAUUUUGUUCCAAGUAGAGACUUUGAUUAAAAGCUACAACUUGCUAAAGCUUGCUAAUUAGGAUUAAGGUUUAUAAAGAAAAUUCAAAAUUGCGUAAUUAUAAAAGUAGUAAGGCAAUUGGAAUUUAAAUAUGAUUGAGAUUACAAAAACGAUUGUUUUUGAGAAUUUUGUAUUAGAUUUAAGCACUUUUGAAUUAAAAUUCAAAUUACAUUCUUUUUAUAAGAAUGAAACAUAUAAGGAUUUUUGGAUACUUGUAAAACAAAAUCCCACCUUCUAUAGUCAAAUGCUUGGUACAUUUCCAAAUAUGAUAAUAUGUAAUACAACAUAAGUCAUGAACUUGAUGUAAAAUGUUUGAGAAAGAAGGUAUUGGAUUUUAUUUGUGAUUAUUUGGAAUUGAUGGCACAAAACGGCAAGAAGGUUCAAUUUAGAGUUUUUGAUCUAGCUUUGGGUGGAACUUCAAGUGGAUUUUUAAGUAGAGCUUCAAGUAGAUCUUCAAAUAGAGCUUCAAGUGGAUUUUUUGUUGGUGAACAAGGUACAUACUUUGAUCCAAAUAUCACAAAAAUAUUUCAAGCAUUUACAUUAUUUAUGCAACAAUAACAUGGCAAUGAUCGCAAAGAGGCUUUGCCAAUCAAAGCAUUGCAAGUAGUAGUUAACAAGGUUGACCAAUUUGAUGGGAGGGAUAUUUCCAAAUAUUUAAGAUAUUAUGUGUGGGAAAUAGAAUAGAAUUAUAUUUUUGAGAAAGAGAUAAUUUAAUUAUUUGAGCUUGCUAUGGUACUAGACAUAAGAGAGCAUAUAAGGUCUAUUAUGGAACAAUUUAGAAGUUCAUAGAAAGUAUUUUUACAUGCAUUGAAGGAUGAAUAUUUUUUAGAAGAUAUUAAUUUAGUUACUAAGAAAUCAUUCUUAAAAAAGAUUGAACAAUCUAAUAAGAAUUUAUAAGCUACAAAAUUAUUAAGAAAAUUUUAAAGGCAAUUUUUUUGAUUAUCAAGAAUGAAAAAGUUAAUACUAGGAUAAAAUAAGAUUGAAUUUUUUCUUCAAGCUGCUAAUGGAUAUUUAUAAGAAAUGUUAGAAGUUCUUCUUGAAGACAAGGAAGAAGAUGAAGGGUUGACAAUAAAAUGGAAGGCUGUUGAAGAUGCUAUUGGAUUGCUUUCCAAAAGAAAAAGGAAAAAGAAUAGGAUUGGUGUUCAAAAAUUGGUGUAAGUACCGAAGACCCCAAUGCCUACUAUACAAUUGAUUGUGCCUAUUGUUCAACUUCCACUGCCUACUCCAAAGAAAGAAGAUAUAGAAUUUGAGAUGAUUGUACAUGGGAUGUGAGAUCUUGAAAACAAACAUGCAAGGCUUAAAGAGAAGACUUCUACAAUAAAUUCAAAGGCUAAUUUUAAACAAGGAUAUGUACAAAGAUGUAUUUGGUGUGAUGAUGAAUUUUUUUCUUAAAAAAAUUACAGUGAAUUCAAUGAGAUGGUGCAACAAGGCGUUGUUUAUUAGAAAGAUUGAAAAGUUGCAUUGAAGGAUACUGGUAAUCUUUUCCAAAUCAACUUUGGUAAAAGAGAUAUGAAAGCGUUGAUUAAAGAUUAUUUUAUAAUUUAUGGAGUUAUAGUAAUGGAAGCUACAAGUUAUAGAACUAAGGUGGAUAAUGAUGGCAAAAAAAAUUUGUUAGAAAUAUUUAAUCAAGUGGACUAUGUUCUUUUGCCAUUUCUAUAAUACAAAAAGAGAAGAUGCCAAUGGAAGCUUUACUGAGAACUGCUGUAAAAAUUUAUGGUGCUAUGAAUUGAGAGGAUCUUAUAGAAGCUUAAUCAGUACAUGCAUAUAUUACUAAAAGCCAACAUGAAGCUUUAAUAAAAGAAAAGAAGAGAAGAAAUUUUGAUGAUACAAGAAAAAGAAAUUCUUCUAAGAGGAAAACUUGAGGAGAUAAGGUUCAUGAAGCGGUUUCACAAGAAUUACCCACAAAAGAUACUUCAACUAUAUUAGAAGAAAAAACAAAGGAAAUGAAAGAUAAAGAUAAAUUGACAACUUACAAACUACUCUCUAAUAUUGAAGCUACAUCAAAUUUAAAGAGAGUGUUUGAGGAACAUAUGCUCAGUACUAAGGUUGAAUUCACAUUCAAGGAGAUUUUGGAAAUUGCUAAGAAAAAAUUCCAUGAUGUCAUUAUUAACAAUAUUAAACAAAAGAGAUAAUUAAUAAAAGAAGCUAAAUUGAGUCAUACUAUUGAUGCAUACAUAUAUGAGGGUGAAGAAGAUGAAUUUGAUAAUUAUUGCAAACAAUCAGGAAGUGAAAAAAAGAAUCAUAACUAAAGAAUAUAUUUUGAUGAUUAAAGUAGUAAAGAUAAAGAAGCUUCUAAUAUUUUUGAGAAUAGAAAUAUUAUGUAUAAGAGAAUUGAUGAUUUAAAAAAAAAAUAUGUGCUAUUAAAAAAUAAUUGUACAGAUUAAGAAUAUUAGAAGAUAAUAAAAAUUUUAUUGGUAUUUAUGAAGAAAAUGGAGAAGAUGAUCUUUUAGAAUUAUUUGCAUCUAUUGGAUUAGGUAAUAAUAAUAAAGUUAUAUAAAUUCAUUCAAGAAAAUUUUAUGAUAUGAUUGAAUCUUUUCAAACACUAGAGAUUAUGGUUAAGACAAAAUAUAAGACAAUAGAUAAGAAGGAGAAACCUGUUGAUGGAGCUUUGCUAGAAGAUUCUAAAGAACUUAUAGAAGAAGCAUUAAAAAAUAAGAGCUUAAAGAAUCUAAGGAAUAUUAAAAAACAAGUUUAGUAAAGAGACUUUUGAGGAAUUGAAGAUUAGUCCUGAUGGUUCUUUAUUGCCAAAAGAAAUAAUUUGCUUCAAAGAUAUGUUGACAAAAUAAAGUAGAUCAUUUGCCUUUAAAUUUCAUGAAACUAGAUGUACAGAUCCAAAUAUUAUUAGGCCUAUGGUAAUUUUUAUUAUACCACAUGUACUUUGGAAUUUAAAGCCAAUUUUAAUAUUAAAGGCACAUUUAUCAAGCUUGGUGGAAUUAUUAAAAGAAAAGAUAAAGAUAAAGAUUUUAAAGCCCUCUUUUGUGCCAUAUUCUAAUCAAUGGUUUACGGUGCUUAAGAAAAAUAAAUUAUAAAUAUUAAUUUAAGAUAUGAAACCAAUGAAUGCGGUGACUAUUAAGAAUGUAGGAAUUGAGCCAAUAGUAAAUGAAUUUGUUGAAGCAACUGCACGAAGGGCAAUCUAUUCAAUGGAUGAUUUGUAUUGGAGCUAUGACCAAUUUGAACUUGCAGAAGGGAGUAGAGAUAUGACAACAAUGAAAACAUUACUUGGACAAGUUAGAAUAUGUAUUCUUCUUCAAAGUACAAAAAAGUCAGUUGUACAUAUGAUGAAUGAGAUGAACAAGGUAUUGAAGAAUUUUAUUCCUGAAAAGACUUUAUCUUUUUUAGAUGAUAUUUGUAUAAAGGGGUGCAAAGAAAAAGACAAGGAUGAAACUUUAGAUAAGAAGAGAUAUUGCAAGUAUAUUGGUAAUCAUAUAUAAGAUUAUAAAAAAAUAUUGAUUCGACUUGAAGAAAUUUAUCUUACAUUAUCGGAUAUAAAAUCUAUAUUUGGAAUAUAAGAGGUCAUAAUUAUUGGAUAUUUAUGUAGAUUUUAUGGAAGAAAACUAGAUCCAAUGAAGAUUGAUGCAAUUAGAAGAAUGAAUCGAGAUUGUAGUUCUUUAACAAAUGUUCAUAAGUUUUUAGGUGCAUGUAUAUUUUAUCAUAUUUGGAUUCCUUACUAUGCUCACAUAGCGGAUCCAUUGUAUAAAUUCUUAUGCAAGGGUUGUCAUUUUAAAUGAGAAAAAAAAUAUAUUAAAGUAGUACAAAGAUUGAAGAAAUUAUUGACAUCACCUUUAAUGUUGAGAAAAAUUAAUUAUAAGUACAAUAUGCUAAUGAUUUUCAUAGUGGAUAUUAGUCCAAUUGCCAUUGAAUGGAUUGAAGGUCAAAAUGAUUUGAAUGGACAUAGAUUUGCAGUGCAAUUUGGAGCUAAGGUUUUAAAUACUCGCCAACAUGCAUAUUCACACAUGAAAAGGGAACUAUGGAGAGUUGUUUCAGCUAUAAAAGCUGAAAAAGAUUAUUUGAUUGGGGCAAUGGUGGUAAUUGAAACAGAUUAUUUGCCUUUACUUAGAAUAAUUAUUAAUUAUAUAAUACCAGAUAUUGUGAUGUUGAGAUGGAUUACUUAUAUCAAGUUAUUAAAUCCAAAAUAUAGGCAUGUUGUAGGGAAAGUCAAUUCGAUAACAAAUAUAUUAUCUUGAGCAAUAUUUGAUAGAAAAGAUGAGAUGAUUGAGGAUAUUGGUGAUGUGGAUACAAAAUUUUAUUUGGUUGCAUAAUAGAACAAAGAAAAUAAGCUAUUUCAUGAAGAAAAUUAGGAAGAAGAGUUAUUGGAUCUUUGACAUUAUUUGAACACAUUAAUCAAGCAUACUUAUUAGUUGAUUUAAAUUUUUAAAAAAAUUAAGAAAAAAAACAUAUAGAUUUGUAUUAUAAGGAAGAUUUCUAUAAAAGAGGCGGAAAUCAAAUAUCACAAUGCCACGACAAGUAGUAGGUAUCAAAAAAGAUCAACAAAGACUACUCAAGGAGUUGAAUGAUAGUCUAUGGAUAGGACAUAGAGGAAUUUGGGCUACUUUUACUAAAUUGAAGGAACAAUAUUGGUGAAAGAAUAUGUAUUGAGAUGCAGCUUCAUUUAUAGAAUCUUUUAUAAGUUGUCAAAUGUAUUCAAAUAUACAACAUUGAAAUGGUUUACAUCGGACACAUCCUUUGGCUAUUCAUUUUAAAUGGAUUAUGGAUUUGGUUAUUAUACCAAUGAGACUAUAGCAGAUGAGAUAUUUAGUUUUGGCUUAUAAAUAUUCCUCAAAGCAAAUAGAAGGCAGGGUACUAAGAACAAAGUCCACUGAAGAAAUUUGUAGGUUUUUACAUGAGGAUUUUAUUUGUUAUUAUGGAUAUGUAAAAAAGAUCACUGCAAAUCAUGGAGAAUUGAAUAUCCAUGAAGCUCAUGAGUUCUAUAAGAGAUGUGAAAUUAAAUUAUCAUUAAUUAUAAAUUAUAAUCUAGAGGGAAAUGUAAAGAGUGAACGUGAACAUCCACCAAUUAUAAAAGCCUUGGUUAAAGCUUCCAAUGGAAGAGUGAGAGAAUGGCCUUGACUUGUACCUUAUGCAUUAUGGACUCAUUAAAUAUCACAUAGUUCAAUAACAUGAUAUAUGUCGAUAGAACUUAUGAUAGGUCAAAAACUAAUUAUGCCAAUUAAAGAAUAUAUUCUAACUUAAAAUAUGCUAUUAUAAGAAGUUGAAUUGAUAAGAGAGGAAUUAUUAGCUAUUAGAAUUUGGCAACUUGGACAAAGAUUGGAAGAUGUGGAACUAGUAUUAAAAAGGUUAUAAAAGGCGAGGUUAGAAAAUAAGACUCAAUUUGAUAAGCAACAUCGAUUGUGGCCUAGAGCAACUGAAGAAGGUGAUUGAGUACUUAUUUAUGAUAAUAGUCUAAAUAACCAAUAUAGUGCUUUGCAGAAGUUUUUAAAAUAUUGAUUUGGACCAUAUGUAAUAGUAAUGGUUCAAAAUAAUGCCACAUAUUUAUUAAAGGAGUUAGAUGGUACAAGAUUGAAGAUAUCUAUUGUUGAGAAGUGAGUGAAGAUUUUCAAAAGACGAGAUAGAGAAAUCAAUGUGAAAGAUCGCACUGAAGAUAUCAAUAUUUUUGAAGAAGAUAAUUAUUUUGAAAUGGAUAGUAAAAAUAGUAAUGAAAGAUUUGAUGCACAAAAUGAAGAGAUGGUGUGAUGUGAGUUAUGAUAUAUGAUUCAUUUGGUGCAUGCUAGAAGAUGUGCAAGUUAAGAGAGGAUAGAUGUCUUGAUGUAAUAUGACUAUAUAGUAAAAAUAUAAUCAAAAUUGAAUAUCUAAUUAAUAUCAAAUUAUCUUGGUUCAAUAAUAAUUUAAGAUAUUUAAAUGUGGCUUUUAUAAAAGCCUCUUAGUUUAUUUUCUUAUCUAAAUAGUUAGUAGGUUAAAAGUUGGUUAGUAAUUUUACCUUCUAAGAUAUAAAGAUUCUUUUAUUGCUUUAGAAAGACCAUAAUUUAGUAAAAUCAUAUUUGAAGAGAUAAAUAAUUAGAAUGGUUGAUACUGGGAUUAAGUUGCAAGUAGGGUUGGACUAAAAAAUCCCUAGGAUAGGUUAUAUUGAUACUCAAGGGUCGACUAUUUGUGAGACAGGGUCAAAAUCAGACCUCUAGUCACUAAAAUGAUCGCCUAGGAUAAAUUACAAUUUCAUUCAAAGAUCAGAAAUUAAAAUUGAAGAGUUAGAUUGAAGCUUGUUUCAUAGACGUAAGGCUUAUGUUUAGAGGAUUUGAUUGGACUUUACAAUUGUUGUUCAAAGUCAGGAUUCAUAAUGGUGACUUGGAAUUUAUGCAAUAGAAUUAGAGCUAGUACUCUCAGCUAGUUUGUGAAAUUGAUGUCACAUCUACAGUUCAAAAUUUGAUAGUGCUUGGUUAAUUUGGUAUUCUAAGUGCAUGUGAAAUUUUGACAUAAUCUAAUGGUGUAGUUGAAAGAUAUCUAAGAUUUUAUACAAAAAAUAUCAAAAGUUGACAGUUUAGGAUUUGGUAAAGUUUCUAUGAUAUCUAAAGAUCUAUUAGUUAGAUCAAGGUGAAAUUUGGCAUAAUAUUAUAAGACUUUGACAUCAAAUUACAUACUAAUUUUUAAUUAAAUCUAAUAGUUGGAGAAGGAGAAAUCACUACUGGAAUGUUUUCAUCAACUUUCAAGUUAAUAGCCAAGUAACAUUAGUGUGGUUUUUGGGCAUUUUCUCACAAUUUGUAAGUUGGAUUGAAGUGAAUUCUAUAUAAGCACAUAAAAGACUUAUAGUGGCAUUUUUGUAAAAAAUUUUACUUCAAGUAGAUAGUUUGAUUAGGAGCUAAAGCUUACUAAAGCUUGCUAAUUAAGAUUAAGGUUUAUAAAGAAAAUUUAAAAUUACCUAAUUAUGAAAAUAACAAGGCAAUUGGAAUUUAAGUAUGAUUGAGAUUAUUAAGAAGAUUGUUUUUGAAUACUUUUUAUUAGAUUUAAGCACUUUUGAAUGAAAAUUCAAAUUGUAUUCUUCUUAUAAAUGUGAAACAUAUUAGGAUUCUUAGAUACUUGUAAAAUAUAAUUCUACCUUCUACAGCCAGAUGCGUCAUACAUUCUCAAACAAGAUAAUAUGUAAUAUGAAAACAUUCUUAUGUUAUGCCAAAAAAAGAGAUGUAGAUUUAGAUCAAUAAAGAAUAAUUCUCUUGAAGGUAGAGCAUUUUCAUCUUUGAGUGAUAAAAUCAGCAUUGACUAUUGAUUUGAUUUUUAUCAAGUAAAUUCAAUCAAGUAUGUCUUGUAAUCUACUUAUUCAUGAUAUCAAGAAUAAUUCUUCUAAGUCUUAUGAUACUUUCAAAUUCAAGUUCAAGUUCAAAAAUAAUCUAUUCUAUUUUAAGAAACAAUUAUAUAUUUUAAAAAAUAAAGCACACUUAUGUGUUUUUUAAUCUCAUCAUGACUUUCUAGCAAUCAAAUAUUUUAGAUAUAACAAGACUUUGGAGCUAAUAUCUAGAAAUUUUUGGUGGCUUCAAAUAUAGAUAUUAGUCAAAAGCUUUAUACAAUUGUGUGAUAUUUUUUCAAGAUCUAAAACUCCUCAUCAUUGAUUUUAUAGACCUCUUGUCACGGCCAUAAUCAUGUAAGCUAAUAAUUACAUAUAGAAAUAGGUAGAAGUAAGUAAAAGUAGAUAAAAGUAAGUUAAUUGUAUAAUAUUUAAUAUAGAAGCUUCCUAGAAACUUCCUAGACGCUGCUUUGACUUCAUAGGUGUCUUUAAUUGACUUUUUGGAUUAGAAACGUGGUCAACAAGUUGGCCAUGUGCCACACAUGUUGUUAGCUUGAAGAUCAAGCUAACUAUGUGGCCCACACGUAGAAAAACUUGCUUUGUAAGUCAAGGCAUGUGUCCUACAAAGUCAACACAUAUUGGAGGUCCUAUAGAACGUCGCCACGUAGCCCCUAGUUAGAUAGUAUAUAUAGAGACAAGAGUGAAGGCUUCUUCACUCUUGUCAACUCCUUUCUUGCUUCUAGUCCAGGUUCAAGAGUCUUUAGUUUCUUGUCUUGUGGCAAUAGCCAUUCCAGUUUCCUUUUAAUAUACCUACUUGUUUAUAUUUUGACUUAUUAUAUCGAGAUAGCCUUUUGGUGUAUAUUUUUUCUUAUCGAGUCUUUGUCCUUGACAGAUUGACAAGAGUACACUUACAAUAUCAGAGCUUCUUCUAUUUUUAUGGAUUUUAUCUCAAAUCUUUCAAUUCUAAGUUUUUAUAAUUCUAUAUUCAUAAUAGUAGCUUAUUUUAUUAAGAUGGUAUAUUGUAUACCAUGUAAAAAAUCUAUUUUAAGUAAAAAAACAACUAAGUUUUUUUAUCAACAUCUAUAACUAUGAUGGAUUGUCGAAAGAUAUUAUAUCGGAUAGGAGGACUUAAUUUAUAUUAAGAUUUUGGAGAAUUCUUUUUAAGAUUUUAAAGAUGGAUAUUAAGCUCUCUUCAAAUUUUUAUCCUCAAAUUAGUAGACAAAUAAUAUAGAUGACUCAAGUUCUAGAGCAAUAUUUUAGAUUUACCAUUUAUUAUCAUCAAGAUGAUUAAACAACACUUUUGCUAUUAGUAAAUUUUGCGUAUAAUAACUUGGUACAUUCUUCUAUUCAAUAAACACAUUUUUUUUAUCAAUUAUGGUUAUCAUCCAUGAUUUAAUAAUUUUGACUUUUUAAAAGUUUAUAAUCAUGUGACAAAAAAUUUGGCAAAUCAUUUAUUAGAGCUACAUGCAACAAUGAAGGCAUAGUUAAAAGAAGCUCAAGAACAAUAAAAAAUCAAUGUGGAUUCCUACUACAAGAAACAACCACAAUUUAAUGUUGAUGAUAAGAUAUGACUACUUCAUUGCAAUAUUAAGACUAUUCAUCCUUAUGAUCAUUUGGACUAUUGUAGACUUAGACCUUUUUCAAUUACUGAACAAGUCACUCUUAUUGCUUAUCAAUUACAUCUAUCGGAGUCUAUGAAGGUCCAUUCUAUAUUCUAUGUGUUUCUCCGUGAACCAUAUAAGACAAUGAAUAUCUCAAAAGGAAGACAAAUGCUACUUUUUUCUAUAAAAGUAGAUAAUAAUAAAGAAUUCAAGAUAGAAGAAGUCUUAGAUUUAAGGUAGUAUCAAAAUAGAUUAGAAUAUCUUAUUUGUUGGCAUAGAUAUGAUAUUAAUAAAUAUACAUAAGAGCUAGCAAAGAAUCUUGUAAAUACAACAAAGAAGUUUGAGGCUUUUUAUAGAUAAUAUUCAUCAAAAUCAAAAUAAAGAAUAGAUUUUUUUAUAGCAAAUCUUUGCUAUAAAAGAAACAAGAUCUAAAGAAGAUAGAAUUUUAUCUUCUAUUCUUAUUUGUAACUUUUGUAUAUUUGUAAGACUAAAAAAAUAGAUAAUCAACAACCAGCAGAUUCAAUUAAAGAGCUAUCUUUUGCUAACUUAUUAGACAAGAUAUUGCAAUUUUUACAACCUUUAAGAUGACAUAAUGAAAAUGAAGAUCUUCAAAAAUAAUAUGUCUUUCUUUGAAUAAAUAGCAAGAUACAACGUGUUUGAUAUCAUGACCUUAGAAGAGAUUCCUGAUAUUUGGUGAUUUUAUUAGAGGUAGAAACGACUCUUAAUGGUAUUUCAAAUAUUUUAUUUUAAAGGAGUUAUAAAGGCUUCAAUAAUGAUCAAAUUAUAAGGUGGUUUUUGUAUAUUAAUAUGAGAUACUAUCAAUAAUUGAGAGGACCUAUCAACCAUCUUCAAUGAGAAAAAAAAUUAGAGUAUGUAGCAAAUAUAAUUUGUCGUAUCUUGGAUUUCUUCAAUAUAUGAUGAUCACUCCUUCUAUAAUUUUUUUUUAGAAUGGAAGGUAAUAUCACAAACAUACAUAUUUAUUUUAAAAUUUACCUCUAUGAUUUAAUAAAAAUAAAUAAAAAUAAAUUUAUUUUAUAAUAUUUUUUAAAAAAGCUUCUUCAAAGCUUCAUAGAUAUUGCUUUGACUUUACAUGUAUUUAUAAUUGAUUGAUAGGUUAUAAACUUGGUCAAAAAAUUAAUCAUGUGUUGGUAGCUUACAAAACAAGUUAACUAUAUGAUACUCACAUAGAAAAUUUGCCAAGUUAAAAAAUGUAUCUUACAAAGUCAAUACAUUUUGGAGGUCCUAUGGGACAUCACUAUAUAGCUCUUAGUUAAGAGUUUAUAUGGAGGAAAGAAUGAAGCCUUCUUCAUUCUUCUCAAUACCUUUCUAGUCCUUAGUCUUAUUUCAAGACUUUCUAAGUCUUCUUAUCUUUGGCAUUAGCCAUUCUAAUUUAGUACUAUAUCAUCUUUGAAUGAUUUUGUAGUCUUUUUGAGUGAUUCAAGAGUAUAUUGGCAUUUUAGUUCUUUAAGGUUCAUAUCUUUGAGAAGAAUUCAAAAAAUAUAAAUAAUUAAGUGAAAUGUUUUAUAAAGAAAGAUAAAAAAAAAUUAAAUAUGUAUAAUCAAGAAAAAAUUGAAAUACCUAUUGCCUAAAAUUAUAUAAUUAGAAAAUAUUAAAAUUAGAUUAAAUACAAGAAAAGAAUUGAUAAGAAUGAAGAAGGCUUCAUUCUUAUCUUUAUAUAUACUAUCUAAUUAAGAACUAUGUGAAAAUAUUUUAUAAGACAUUUAAUAUGUGUCUAAUUUAUAAUACAUAUGUCCAAUUUGCAAGAAAAGUUUUUUAUAUAUACACCACAUAUUUAACUUAUACCACAAGUGGCUAACAUGUACAAUAUAUAGUCAACUUAUUUUUUGAGUUUUUAACCUAUUAAUUACCUAUAGAUAUGUAUGAAAAUAAAAUUACAUCAAUAAAGAUUCUAAAAGGCUAUUCUAUAGAAAAUUAUCAAAUUUAUCCAACUUACUAAUUAAAAUAAAAAACUUUUAGUCUCUUAAAUGUCAGCCAUCUUCCUUCUCCAACCUAAUUAUUGAUCUUUUAGUAGUGAUUUUUCCUCACUAAACUAUUAAAUUGCUUCAAAAUUUGAUUAGUGUAUGGAUUUAUAAGUCAAAAUUGCUCCCACCAAUUUUUGCUUCUAUAGAAUUGGCAGAUUUUGUAGGAUUGUGUGAGCCCAUAUUUCAAUACUCAAUGAAAUUGAUGCUAUACAAUAAGUUUAAGAGGUAGAAUAGAAGAACUUCUAAUUGUGUAAUUACUAAGUUGAUUUAAAUCUUAGUAUUAAUAAUUCAAUUAAAUUUAAGCCUUCAAAGCAAUAGUCACUAAUAUUAAUAAAAAAAAUGAUUUAAUAAAAUUACUAUGGUCUUCAAGGCUAUUUGCAUGAUCCCUACUUAAAUUUCAAUGAAUUGUUUAAGAUCAUUUAUAUAAUCUUUAAUUACUAAUUUUUAUGUGAUUACAAAAGUAUAAUUAAUUAGCUGAAACUUAUAAAUUAUCAUCCCUUAAAUAACUGAUGGUAAAAUUAAUUGAUCAAAUUAUUACCAUUAAUCUAUAGUAAAAUUUUAAAAAUCUUAAAAAUUAAAUUAAAAGUAAAAAUUAAAAGUCAAAGUCAAAAUCAAAAAUCAAAAAUAAAAGUCAAAAGUAAAAGAGAAAAGAUUAAAGGUUAAGAAUUAAAAAUUAAGAUCUAAAAUUUGAAAUAUAAAAGUUACGCAUUAUUAUAAAAAUAAAAGAAAAAAUGAGACUAAAGAGAGAUAAAAGCGAAAUAACCUUGAUAGUGCCCAAGAAUUGAGGGCAGCAAACCUUUUCUACUCCAAAAUUUGCCAAAUUUUUUGAUUAACUCCAAAUUGAAUGAUUUUUAGUUUUUUGAAAAUUUAACUUAAAGGCGCUCCUGAUUUAAUAAAAUUAAAUUCAAUCUGGUACCUAAGCAGCAAGAAAUGUUCUUUUAAAAUUGAGUGACUAAGAGUGCCAUAGUAGGCAACCUCCCUCUACUUGAAAGUUAAAAAAACAUUCAAUUCGUCUUUGAAUUUAGUGAAAUUUAUGCCAUUGAAAGCUUAGCUUGAAGAUGCACUUAUUUCCGAAAUUGCACAAUAAUCCAAUUAGAAAUCAUUGAGAAAUGCUUUUUCAAAGGUGGAUGAUCUAAACUGCCAAGGCAGCCGACCUCCAUGCAUUCAAAAUUCCACCACAAUUUUGUACUUACUCCAAAUUAAGCAACCCUUAUCUUUUUAGAAAGCUAACACCAAAAGCUACAACUACAAAAAUAUUCACAUUGAAACUCAAAAAAUUAAAUGACUGAUUGAGGAAAAUUUGAAGCUCUUAAAUCCUUGAGAUAUUUGAGAGGGUGAGGAAGCUAUCUACCACAAUGACCUAUGUCUCAAAAUCCAAUAUCCAUCAUUCACUACUCAAGAUAUAUGCAUAUACAACCACAAGUUCACAAUGAGAUUAAAAAUCAAAAACAAAAUUAAGAUUAGGAUUUAAGGCCAAAAUUUGGCAUGAUUUCAUCCUUCACCAAAAGAAGAAAGAGAGAAGGCUUGGAGAACCAAGCCACUCUUAUACAAUUGAGUGGUGGGUUGUAGAAGGGCGGCCACAUCUCCACCCUUGAUUUCUAAGAUCACUAAUAUAGAUCUACAGCCUUCAUUCAUUUAAGAGCCAAUUUCAUUAUUAAGGUUGAUGGCUCUUGUAAGUAGUCAAGAAAGUAUCUUUUGGAAAACCUAACUUCACCAUAAUGUUCAAAAUACCUUUUUAUGCUAAAAUCGACUAAUGACAUGUCUCAAUCCAUACUCAAUUAUAAUUUUUAUGGAAGUAUUUACCUACAAGGAACUUGGCAAUUCUUGUAAAAUCCUUCAAAAUGAGAAUUUCAUCACUCCACUUGUAUUUUGAAGGAGAGGGUGCUGAUCUUGUUUUCUUCAUUCCACAAAGUAAAUCCGGUACCACCAUUGCAUUAAAAAGGCUUCUAUUAAUUAGAAGAACCACUAUGCUACUUGAAUUUGUUGAAUUGGAGGAAAUUUCAAAAUUAUCAUUGCUAAACUUCACUAAAUCUUUCAAAAAAUUAUAAUCCUAACUCAUUCUAAAUCAUGUGAAAUGAUUUGAGGUGAAUUCAUAUGCCUUUAAUUAAUCCUCAUAGUACUAACUAACAACCUCUAAAUUAUUAAAAUUAAUUAAGUUGCUAUUUUAAUUUUCUAAUUCUUAUCACUUUAGUCCAAAUUAACCUAACUUAAGGAAUUAGGCUAUAAUUUAUACCAUCAAAGGUUGUAAUCCUAAAAAUUCUAUAAUACUAAAUUCUACUCCUAUAAAUCCUCAAAUUCCACUCUUUAAUCAAUUAAAGAAUCCUAAAAUUAUUGUUGGUGCCUGAUUUUGUACCUUAAGGUUUGAUUUUGAUCCUAAUUCAUAACUAGUCCUCUUUGAAUAUUAAUUCUUGAUAUUUUAAGAUAAGUUUUAUUAAAAUCUAUUCUUAAUUCUUUCUUAAAGAUUUUUAUAUGAUUUAUUUUAUUAACCUACUUUUUUUUGCCUUGUUUAUGGCCUUAUAAAAUAAAUAGAAGUAAUUUUCUAUAAAAAAGUAAUAUUAAUACUAAAAGUUUUUAUUACCUUUCUAUAAUUUAUCCAUAUUUUGCUACUAUAUCUUUCUAUUAGGUUUUUCUGUAAUAAAAUUUAUAUUUUUAUCUUUCACCAUAUAGUCAUAUUACUACACAACAUUACGUUUCUUUAGGACACUAUCAAUGGCUAAGAGGACCCGUUAACUACUUUCAAGGAUAACAAAUUUUAGAGUAUAUUGUAAAUAUAAUUUGAUAUAUCUUAGACUUUUUUAAUAUGUAAUUAUUGUUCCUUAUAGAAAGGAGUUCAUUUAUAGAAAGAAGGAUAAUAUCAUUGAUAUAUAUAUUUAUUCAAAUAAUUAUUUAUAUAAUAUAAAUAAAUAUAUAUAGAUUAAAAUAAAAAUAAUGAUAAUAUCUUAUAGAUAAGUUUUUUAGAAGCUUGAUAGAUGCAACUUUGUCUUUAAAUAUGUUAUGCAAGUUAAUUAUGUAUUGUAGGUUUUAUAGAACUCUGCUACGUAGCUUUUAAUUAGAUAGUAUAUAUAAAGGUAAGAGUGAGGUCUUCCUCAUUCUUAUCAACUUCUUUUUUGCUUCUACUUUUAUUUCAAGAAUCUAUAAUUUUUUAAUAUUUGAGAAUAUCCAUUCUAUUUUUUUUAAAUAUAAAAAUCUAUUUUUUUAUCUUUUUAUCUUCUUUUGAAAAAUAUCUCAUUUGAUUAUUUAUAUUCUUUGUUUUAUUUUCAUUUAUAUAUAGUGAAGAUAAUAUUUUUUUCCAAAAUAAUCACCUUAUUUUAUAAUUUAUAUUUAUUAAGAAUGUAAAAAUUACAAAAUCUUUGUCUUAUUAGAAUUAAAAGCUUCAAUUUAUUUUUUAGCUAAAGAUUUUUUUAAAAGAUAUAUUAUAUUCUUAAUAAAAAAAAAUAUAAGUCCUUUCUUGUAAAAAUCAUAUAUGGUUGUCUUUUGUCUUAUAAAAUUAUUAUGCAUAAAAUUACUUUCUAGAUGUAAAAUAAAUUGUUAUAUUAAUUUAGUAAUACUUCAUAUUUUUAGAUUUUUUUAAACUAGUUACUUCAGAUUUAUAGAGGCUAGAAAAAUUUAACCAUUAAAUAAGUUAGAUUUCUUGUGAUUUUGAUUUUUUUCAUAGUAUAAUCAAGUCUUUUGCUAAUCAAGUAGAAAGUCAAAAGUCUAGUAUAUACAAAUCCUUAUUUACAGAUGUAAGAGUUUCUAUGCUUGCAACAAAAGAAGAAUCAUCUUUUGUUAUUUAUGUUAUGUCCAUUUCUAAUGGUGGAAAGGCUUUAAAUAGCAUUCCAAAAAAAUAUCAAAACUAUCAAUAUGUUUUUGAGAAAAAAAAUACAAAUAUUCUUCCAAAUUAUUAUCUCUAUGAUAACUUAAUUGAUCUCCAAAAAAGAAGUCAAUUUCCAUUUGAAUCAAUCUACUACUUAUUAAAAAUUAAAUUAGCUUCAUUCAAAGAAUACAUUGAUGAAAACUUAGCCAAAGAUAUCAUGUGUUAUUUAAAAUCUUUAAUUAUUAUAAAAAAAUAAGUAUCCUCUAGCUUUGAUAUUGAGACUUUUAGAACAAUUGAAUUAAGCAAAGAUCUAUAAAAUAAUAAAUCUAUAAAAUAAUAUACAACUUAAUACUUAUAAAAAAUAGAAAUGAAUAGAAGAUUAUAUUUCAAAGUAUAUAUAUAUAUAUAUAUAUAUAUAUAUAGAUAUAUAUUGAAUAUAAUUUCAUACCUUUUAGAUUUGCAAAUAUGUUAGCUACUUUUUAAUAUUUGAUUAAUAAUAUUUUGUAUGAAUUUUUAUAUUAUUUUAUUAUUUUUUAUUUAAAAAAAUACUUUAAUCUACUCUAAAGAUAUAAAAUAAUAUAAAAUUAGUUUUUAUUUUAUAUAAUAAAAAUUUAGACCUCCAAUACUAUAUUUGAAGGUAGUAAAGUAUGUAUUUUAUAUAAUUUAAGUUGAUUUCUUUAGAUUUAUCAUUUCAAACAAAAAGCUUAUGAUUAAUCUUAACAAAGUUUAAACUAUCAUAGAUUAAAAAAGCAAAGUCAAAGUUAUAUAUAUAUAUAUAUAUAUAUAUAUAUAUAUAUAUAAGAAUUUUUUGAAUAUUAUAGAAUAUGAAUGGAUGAAAAUUUGUAGGAUUGUAGAUUUACUUAUUUUAUAAGAAUUUAAUAAAUUUUAAUUCAAUCAAACGAUUAGAUUAUAAGUUAUUUGGAUUUAAUAGAAUAGAGGUUUUAGAAUUUGGUUUUUAAAGGUUAGUAAGUGUUUUUUUGAUCUCGAGUGAUUUUCUAGUUGGAUAUUUUUUUAUUUUUUUUUGAUCAAGUAAAAAACUUAGUUUGUAAUAUUUUUGUUAAUUUUGAGAGAAACUAAAUAGUUAAAUAAAGAGCUAUUGUUACUAGCAGAUUGAUCUUAAGAUUGAAAAAGAAAGAUAGCCAACAUCUAAGCGUAUUAUGAGAUUUUUAGCUCAAUUAGUAAUUUAAAUUUUCUUUUAUUUUUUUUACUUAUUAUUAAUUAUUAUAUUGAAAUAUUUAUAAUUUUUUAAGCAAGUUCAAUGAUUUAAUUAGUAAUUAUUGAGAUUUUAAGGUUGAUAUAGAUAUUUGUUAAAAUUGGGUAGGAUUUCAUAAAGAUUUUAAUAAAAGUUAUUUGGAUUUUUUUUAGAAUUCUAUUAGAUUUUGUUAGAAUUCUUUAAGGACUUAUUUAGGAUUUUAUUAGAAAUUAAAAAUUUACUUAGGAAUUUUUUAAGAUUCUUUUAAAUACAUUCUUGAAGGUUCCUUUAUGAUUUUAUUAAGAUUUGAAUAAAUUUUGAUUAGAAUUACUAAUGUUAAAUUGAGAUUUAUUUAUAAUUUUAUUAGAAUUGUUAGGCUCUUUAUUUAUUACAAAAUAUAAUUUUAUUUUUUAUAAUCAAGUAUUUAGUGCAACCUCAAGCAAGACGACAUGCAAUAUGACAUUGGACUCUAUAAAAAUCCAUCCCAUAUUCCAUGUAUCUCUUCUUGGGCUAUAUAAAUUAGUAGAUAAACAAAACAUAUAUAUAUAUAUAUAUAUAUAUAUAUAUAUAUAUGUAUAUAUGUUUUUUCUAAAUAUGUUUUAUUUUUAUAUAUAUAUAUAUAUAUAUAUAUUUAUAUAUAUGUUUUUUCUAAAUAUGUUUUAUUUAUAUAUAUAUGUAUAUAUAUAUUAUAUCUUUUUAUGAAAGUGGACAAUAAUUAAGAAUUUGAGGUAGAAGAAAUUUUAGACUUAAAACAAUGCUAAAAUAAAAAAUAAAGGCCCUCAAGAAUAACAGUUUCUUUCUUGAAUAAAUGGAAAAAUAUACGGCAUUUGAUAUCACGACUUAAGAAGAGUCUUUCAAUAUUUGGUGAUAUCAUUAGAGGUAGGAACUACUUUUGAUGGUGUUUCAAAUGUUUUAUCUAAAACAAGUUACAAAAGUCUCAAAAAUGAUUAAAUAACAUGAUGGUCUUUUUGCCAUAAUAUGAAACACUAUCAAUGGUUGAAAGGACCUAUCAACUAUCUUCAAUACAAGCAAAAAUUAGAAUAAGUAGAAAAUAUAGUUUGUCACAUCUUAGACUUCUUCAACAUGUGGUUACUGCUUCUUGUAGAACUUCUUACUAGAAUGGGAGAUAAUGUCACAAAUAUAUAUAUAUAUAUAUAUAUAUAUAUAUAAAAAUAAAAAUAAAUAAAUUUGAUGAUAUCUUGUGUAAAUGUUAUAUAAAUAUAGCCAAUAUAGGCAACAAGUUAGCCACAUAUUGCACAUAUUAGUUAUUUGUUAUAUAAGCUAGUUAUUUGGUGCACAUAUUGAAAAAAGUCUUACUUCAAGAAUUGCUAAUCUCUUUAUAUUUGGCAAUAGCCACUGUACUUUCUAUCUUAUAUCCAUCUUUGAUUUAUUUAUUUAUUUAUUUUAAGUUCACAAAAGUGUACUACUUUUUUAGAAUUUUUCUAUGAUUUAUGUCCUUGAAAUUGAUGAGAAUUUAAAGAAUAUAAAAUUAAAGUAAAUUAAAUUAAAUUAAAUCAAAUACUUAUGUAAUGACAAAAAAAAAUAUCAUAGAUAAUUUAUUGUCCUUAAAUACAUUAAAUAUUCUAAAAAUAUAAUAAUAAAAUAUAUAUAUAUAUAUAUAUAUAUUAAAUAUUCUUAAAGUAUAAUAAAGAACACAUAGAAAGAAAAAAAAUAUAUAAUGUAGACACAUAAUUAAAGUGGUCGUCAGACUUGGGGGUCCACUUUGAAAGAUAAUGAUUCAAUCACAUUAUGAAAGUCUUUUGUUUGGUGUAAACAAAUCUAUUUUUUUGGAAAGCCCAACUUUUGAUAGAAGUAUUAAAGAAGAAUACACCAUUACAUUAUUGAAGAACAGUAAGUACUUACUUAGUUACAACCACAUAAAGUUUAAGCAUAGUAUAUUGCUAAUAGUAAAAAGACAGCAAAGAGGUAAAGUAAGUUAUUGUGGUACUACCGAGGCUUUAGUAAUAUGAGAUAGAAAUGGAUGUAAUAUCAAAUGGAUGGAAGUUGCCUCAUUGGUAGGCAAACCACCACCUAUAAGUAAAGAGUGUUGGAAGUAAGAAUUAUCUUCCUCCAUACUUCUCUUAGAGUACAAUCCUUGCUGAUGCUAAGUGUUUGUAGCCUUUAGACUUCUCUUUUUCAAUAGGUUAUGGGCCCACUCAUAUUUUCUUGAGUGUUUUUUUUUUUUUUGAAGUCUUUUAAGUAUUUUUGUAAGUAUGGAGUAGAUCAAGUUGUUGUAACUGAUGUUAGGCAUUAAAAGUACCUAACUUUCAUAUUUAGGUCUAGAACUAGAUCUUAGUUUGUUCUUACUUGUGGUUAAGAGCAUUUUAGUGUUGAUGGUUGGUUUAUCACAUAAAAUUGCUUGUUAUGCUUAAUAAGCCUCUUUUAUUAUAUAGAGGUGACUUGUGAGUAUAAAAGAGAUAUUAGAGUGAUGAUUUAGAUUUGGAAAGCUCACCAGACUUGUGAGAAGUCUUAGAAGUGAAGUUGAGAGUGUUUUUGAGAGUUAAAACACUAGUUUGUUCACAAAGAAGGAUUCUAGGAUUCUAAGGUAGCAUUUUUUUUUUUUUUUUUUUUUUUUUUUUUUUCAUUUUGAGAGCAUUAGGACUUCUUCUUACUAUCUUUUUUUGAUACAACUCUUCUUUAGACAUGGCUUCAAGUGAAGGUGAAGGAUUGAGAGUUAUUGAGAAGUUUAGAGGUAAAAAUUUCUACCAUUGGAAGGUCAAAAUAGAGCUUUUGUUGGUAUCUUUGGAUCUUUGGGAUAUUAUAGAUGAAAGUGAAGAGGCUCCAAGCAAAGAUGCUAAUAUGAAGGAGAAGAAUGAGUUCAAACAUCGUGAAAAGAAGGCUUUUGGAUUGAUUGCAACAAAUGUAGAUGAAGCCAACUUCUCUCACAUUAUCUUUUGCAAAGGACCAGUAGAAGCAUGGAAGACUCUUUGCAACAUCUAUGAGAGCAAGAACUUAUCCAUCAUCUAUACAAGGAGGAAGUUCUUCACUUGCAAGAUAGAAGAAGGUGAAGACCUCAUGACUCAUAUUAAUAAGGUAAAGGCUCUUACAAAUCAACUAGCAACUAUUGACAAGCCUUUAGAAGAAAGUGAUAUUGUCAUGAACUUGCUAAUGAGCCUUUCCAAAUCCUACAACUACCUUAUUGUGGCAUUGUAGUCCAUCAAGCUAAAAGAGCUUACAAUGGAUUAUGUGACGGCAAGACUUACCCAUGAAGUAACCAAGAAAAAAGAAAAGGAGCCUCAUAGUGAAGAUUCAGUAUUUUAUUCACGUCAAAGCAAAGGCAACUAUUCAAAUCAAGGAGGUAAUAUCAAAUCUUGCUUCAUUUGUGGCAAAAUAGGCCAUUUUGCUCGAAAUUGCUACAAAGGCAAAAAGAUAAAGAAGGAGAAUGCAAAUAGUAUGCAAGAUGAGUUUAGAAGACAAGAUUAUACAUUCACGGCAACAAAUGGGACCUCAAUGGCUACCAUGUCAAGAUGGAUUGUGGAUUCAGGUUGUUCCAAGCAUAUGACACCUUAUAAAUAUUCAUUUGAUAUUUAUGAAGCUAUUCCAGCAUGAAACGUGGUAUUGAUAAAUAGUGGUACAUGUGAAGCUAUUAGAAUUGGCUCUAUUAUGAUCGAGGUUGUUGUGAAUGGACAAACCAAUAGGAUCAGAUUCAAAAACAUCCUUCAUGUGGCUAAAAUGAAGCAAAACCUAUUUUCGGUGAGUAAACUUGUAAUGGAAGGUUUUAAAGUUCAAUUUGACAUGAAUGGAUGUUUUGUAAGAACAUUGAGUGGAGACAAGGUCUUCAAAGGCUUGAAAGAAGGAAAUUUGUACUACCUCAUUUGUAAGAAGGUGAAUGGACUAGAGGUAGCCGUAUUUGCUGAGUUUACAUCAAAUCAAGACAAGUUGAAUAUAUGGCAUCGUUGCCUUGGCCAUUUAAAUGUGAAGAGCAUGAAAGAGCUGAACACCAUGGUAACUGGCUUAGAUCUUGGCAAUACAAGCCAUAAUGCAAAAUAACUUACAUAUGAAGGAUGCAUACAAGGCAAACAAAAAAGGGCCUCAUUUCCAAAGAGUGUAGCAACACGUUGUCAUGUUGUGGUUCGGCUACUAUAUGAAAAUAAUGUAAUUAUAUACUUAAUAUAUAAUUUAUUAAGUAACAUGGUGAGAGCCAUGUUAGUAGAUUUUAGUUGGUUUUAGAAUAUAAUUUGAUUAUUACCUUGAAAAGAGGUUGUUUAAAAAAAUUACUAUAGAUUUUGUAUAACUUUAAUUUUCUUUUGAUAGUGGCUUUUAAGAUUGGUUUUGGUUGAUAGUAACUUCUAAAUAUUUAGAAUCACCUUUAUUAGACAUUGGUGACCUUUGAAAACUUCUUUUGGUUCUUCUAUUUGGUGUUUAGAGCAUAAAUUAUGUAAAUCUUAUAAGAAAAAUGAUUGAAGAAGGAUUUUGGUAGAAAUGAGAGUAAUUAGGGCACCAAUAUAGAUGAAUGGAGAUGAAUAAUGAAAAUCUCCAUUCCUAUUGGUCAAAAAUCAUGACCAAUGGGCUUUGAGGAGGCUACCCGAGGCCAUAUUAGGGAUUAGGGUUAAUUUCUCUCGAUUGAUUCGAACUUUUAAGGCUAGGGUCAGAAGGUUUAGGUUUUUGGCUAUGCUUUUGGUAUAAGUUUUGUGUCAUUUGGGGUUUUUAUGAAGAAGUUAUGGGCGCUCAAAGUUAAGGUGUUAAUUUUAGGACCUACUGUCACUCUUUAGGGCAUUUCGCACACAUACAAAUAGCAAACGAGAAUCGGCAAUAGGAGUUAGAGAGAGGACUUUUUUGGCUAUAAUUCAUGCCUAAUAUUUGUCAAAUUCUAAGCUUUAAUAAAGGAGAUAUUGGUAGUUGAAGUCAGUGCUUGGAAUCUAAGGGUAGUAAGUAGCCCGAUUUACUUGUACUUGUGAUUUGAGCUAUAUCUUAGACAAUUUGAUGAGGUUUUGACUCAAAAUUUCCAAGAUUGUGUAUAAUCUUGUUAUAAAGCUUUAUACAUAAGUUUUGUGGAUUUUAGAGUUUGGAUUUUUGAGAUAUAGAGAAAAUAGUUUAUGGGUGCUUGUAAGUUACGGUUUUGUACACCUAUUAGGUUUUCUAAGAUUCUGAAAGAUCGGUGAUAUAUGUAUGAUUCAUUUUUGUUGUGAUAAGGGUUAAGAAUAGCAUAUAUCUUAUGUAGAAAUUUAAAACAAACUGAACGGUUGGAUCGAGAUAUAUGAGAUCCUAAAGUCUGAUAUGAAAAGGUCUUUGCGGGAAGAAAAAUAUUUUGAAGGAUUUUAAUAUAUUUUGAGUUUUUAUACAAAGAAAAGAGGAUUUUGGGAGUUAAGGCAUAAUAUACAAGUGAAACCUAAACUCUCUACAGCUAGAUACUCAGUGUAUUCCCAGAUAGCAAAUCACACUGUCGAGGUAGAGAGAGUUUGCCUCAAGAAAGUGCUAGGCUUCUGGCUGUCACUAAAUACUCAAUCAAGUUUGAAAUAUAAGGGUAAAAAUUUUAUAUAUAUAAAAUCCUCUCCUUUGGAGCAAUUACAUCAAUAUACAAGCCUUAAAAUCCAAAGAACACCAAAAUACUUGAUAAGGUGUUAUAAAAAACUUAUAUAUCCUUAUGAAGAAUUUUUCCCAAAGUUCAACAGCUUAUAACAUACGAUCUAAUCGUCUAAACAACUCCAAAUUUUACAUGGAGUACUGAUAUAUCUUUAGCAACUACCACACCAAAAUUUAACCGUAAAUUCGUCUUGGAUCUUGUGAUAUCUUGAAAAUCCUAACUGUAGCUUCAAACCCUAGCUUUUUUACACCCGUGUACAACUUCCUUCAUAUUUCACAAAGAAAUUAUUCAAAUACUAUGAAACUUUGAUCUAAAGCUUCUUAACCCAAUUACACACACUUGUGGAAAUUUUGAGCCAUAAAUUCGUCCAGAAACUCAAGAUAUGGCUUCAACCAUAACUAGCAACAAAACGAUAUACUUACUGCCUUCAAACUACAAGUGCUGUCUUCAACGCCUCAUAACUCCUUCACCCAAUCUUAGAAUUCACUAUACAGUAAAUAGAAUGUGUAGCCGAAAAAAUACUCCCUCCAAAUCUAGUCGCCGAUCUUCCGUUGCUCUCCGUAUUCGUAUGUGAUGCCCAAAAGAAGUGACAGUAGGUACGAAAUUGACACCUUAUCUUUGAACAUUCAUAUCUUUUCCAUAAAAAUUCGAAAUCACACAAAAUCUUCACCCAAAUUAUACCCAAAACCCUAAACCUUCUGACCCUAGCCUCAAAAGCUCGAAUGGCCUCGAAAGAGGAACCCUAAUUCCUAAUAUGGCCUCGGGCAGCCUCCUCAAAGCCCAUUGGUCAUGGUAUUCGACCAAUAGGGAUGAAGUUCUUCACCCCUUGCCUUCAUCCAACCAUGCCUUACUUUCAUCCUUUCCAAUAAGCCUCCUUCUAGUUAUAUUUUCAUCUUUUAACUCCUCCCUUCCCUUAAUCUUUAUACUAACUAUCUAAAUCCUAUAUAAUAUAAACUCUAUAAUCAAACUAGAUUAACUUCCAAAUAAUUUUUCUUAUUUCAAUUCAUUUUAAAUUAAUAUACUAACUAUUCUAACUCACAUUAAGACUUAUAAAUAUAUUACAUGUUUUCACUAAUUUUUACAUAUUGUAAGUAAUUACAGUACGACAACGCCAUACGACAACGUGCUACGAAGUUGCUAGAGAUUGUCCAUUCUGAUGUAUGUCAACCUAUGAAAAACACAAGUAUUGGAGGAUCAAGAUAUUUCCUCACCUUCAUUGAUGAUUAUUCAAGAAAGAUUUGGAUCUAAAUUCUUAAAGCCAAGAGUGAAUGCUUUUGGAGGUUUAAGGAGUUUAAAGCACUUGUUGAGAAACAAAGUGAAUGCAAGAUCAAAGGUGUUACAUAUGGACAAUGGAGGUGAGUACAUGUCUAAGCAAGUUGAUGUUUAUUUGAAGAAUGAAGGAAUUUCUAAACAAACCUCAACUCCAUACACUCCACAACAAAAUGAUAUUGUUGAAAGGACAAAUCGAACCAUCGUAGAGAUGACAAGGAGCAUGCUUCAUGCUCAAAACCUUGGCUUUGAAUUUUGGGCGGAAGCUGUAGUGAAUGCAAUAUAUACAAGAAAUAGAUGUCCAACAAGUGCUCUUGCAUCAAUGACACCACAAGAAGCUUGGAGUGGGAGACAACCUUGCAUUUCCCAUAUGAGGACCUUUGGUUGCAUUGUAUAUGCAAAAACACUAGAUUGUAUGAGGUCUAAACUUGAUGCAAAAGGUACAAAGUGUGUGUUUCUUGGUUAUUGUGAAGGUAUUAAGGCAUAUAGGCUAAUGUGCUUGGAAACCAAGAAGAUCAUCAGAAGUCAUGAUGUUGCAUUUUUGGAGCACAAGAAUGCUUGUGAGCAUUUGGAGAUGUGUCCAAGUGGGAGUAAUGGUGUGUUUGUGGACACAUCUUUCAAUUCAACAAAGAAACAAGAAGAUGACAUCAAUAACGAUGAAAAGCCAAAGCAGGUUGAAAAGAUAAAGGCUCAUACAAUUAAAAGGACCAGCAAUGAAACAAAUGAAGAUGUUGAAGAUUGGGAUGUUGAUAAUGAUGAAGAGUAGUAACCAUUGAAUGAGAAACAACAAGAUUUAAAAGUUAGAAAAGAACAAAGAGUAGAACAAGGUGAAUGUUCUUCAAUCAAUGAAAAGAGAUAUCCAUUGAGAGAAAGAAAGCAACGUGGCGAAUGGUGGAAGGAUCACAUCUUCUCUCAAGUAAAAAAAAGAACAUAUAAAUGUUGUUCUUCUUGCUGAUCCAUUAUCUUUGUGUGAUGCUAUGAAGUGUGAAGAUGCAAUCAAGUGGGAGAAGGCUAUGGAAGAAGAGUAGCAAUCUCUUAUAGACAACGGUACAUGGAAAUUGGCACCUCUUCCAACAAAUCGAUCUAGUGUUGGUUGUAAAUGAGUGUUUAGGACUAAAAGAGAUGCAAUGGAUGUGGUGGUGAGGCACAAGACAAGAUUGGUUGCCAAAAGAUACUCACAAGUUGCUGGAAUUGAUUUCAAUGAGACUUAUGCAUCCGUUGCCAAAUUCACCACCAUUAGGACCAUUGUAGCAAUUUAAGUAGCAAUGGAUUUGAAAAUACACCAAAUGGAUGUAAAGACGGCCUUUUUGAAUGGAGAAUUGUAAAAAGACAUCUACAUGGAUCAACCUCAAGGAUUUGUACAACAAGGCAAAGAACAUCUUAUUUGCAAAUUGAAGAAAUCUUUAAAUAAAUUGAAACAAUCACCAACGGCAUGGUACCAACGAAUUGACACCUUCUUUAUCAAUGAAGGAUUUGUAAGGAAUGAAGUUGAUCAUUCAUUGUAUGUGAUGCAAUCUAGAAAGUUCUUGCUGAUUGUAAUCCUCUAUGUUGAUGAAUUGAUCAUCUUGGCUAACAAUUGUCACGGACAUAAUCAUGUAAGCUAGUAAUUACAUAUACAAAUAGGUAGAAGUAAAUAAAUAUAGAUAAAAGUAAGUUAAUUCUAUAGUAUUUAAUAUGGAAACUUCAUAAAAGCUUCAUAGACGUUGCUUUGACUUCAUAGGUGUCUUUAAUUUGUUUUUUGGAUUAGAAACGUGGUCAACAAGUUGGCCAUGUGCCACACAUGUUGUUAGCUUGAAGAUCAAGCUAACAAUGUGGUCCACACGUAGAAAAACUUACAUUGUAAGUCAAGGCAUGUGUCCUACAAAGUCAACACAUAUUGGAAGUCCUAAAGAACACUGCCAUGUAGCCCCUAGUUAGAUAGUAUAUAUAGAGACAAGAGUGAAGGCUUCUUCACUCUUGUCAACUCCUUUCUUGAUUCUAGUCUAGUUUCAAAGAUCUCUAGUUUUCUUGUCUUUUGGCAAUAGCCAUUCCAAUUUCUCUUUCAAUAUAUAUACUUGUUUAUAUAUAUUUUGUUACCUCUCUUUGAGUGAAGGCUCACUUGUCUGAAUUGUUUUUUCAUCGAGUUUUUAUCUUUGACAGAUUGACAAGAAUAUACCUACAAUAUCAGAGCUUUGUCUAAUCUUGAUUAAGAGUGGAUUACCCCUUUUUUCUUAAUAAGAUAUAAGCAUACUAGAAGUUACGGAUUACCCUCUUUUAAAUUGAUAUUGUCCUUAGUAUUUUCUUUGUUCUCAAGUCCUCUCUUCUAUUUUUCUUGAGUGAUAUUAGACAUCUUCUCUCUUCUAAGUAUUAUCAUGGCAGAACUUCUUGAAAUGAAGAGUGCAAUGGCACAAAUGCAAGAGCAAUUGAGGGAGUUAAUGCUUGCGAUGCAUCAACUCAAUUUACCACCACAAAGAGCAACAAGAUUGGCAGGAAGUGAAGAUAUAGAAAUGGUUGGAACUGCUUCAACAUUUGCACCAAACCAUGUCCUUUCUCCUAUGAUGGAACGUCCUUCAAAUGUUAGAGAACCAAGAAUUGCCCUACUCGAGAAGUUUGAUGGCACUAGAUCCAAGUUUCGAGGAUUUAUCAAUCAAGUGCAACUUAUGAUUGAACUUCAAUCCCACAGCUAUCCAACUCCAGGAUCGCAAGUUGAAUUCAUUGUUACGCUUCUUUCAGGUUCAGCACUAUCGUGGUUUUCAUCUUUUCUUGAACGACGAGAUCCAAUAUUGGAUAAUCUAGAAGCUUUUUUGGCGGAGUUUCGAUCCAUGUAUGGAGAACAUGAUGCAAUUCGUGUUGCAACUAAUAAGAUCCGUAUUUUACGACAAGACAAUCGAUCAGUAACGUUAUAUGCUUCACAAUUUUGACAACUUGCACCUGAUAUCAAGUGGGAUGAUGCUGCACUUAUUAGCCAAUUUUUCUAUGGAUUAUAAUACGAGGUAAAAAAAUUAAUGCUCAACUUACCUAAUCCUCAAACAUUGAGUCAAGCAAUUGACUUUGCUGUGAAGUGUGACAAUCGCCUUUUUGAAUUUCGAUGUGAGAACCAUACAAGUAGACCUCAACGUUACUAUAAUUCAAUGGCAACACCAACACUUCUUCAACACAUACAUUCGAAAGUAGAGGAUAUGCAAAUUGAUGCAGUACGUUUCAAACCUCUUACUGAGCAAGAAAAGACUCGUCGUGGUCAAGAAGGAAUAUGUUUAUAUUGUGGAGAAUCAAAGCACACUGCUCAACAUUGUCCAAAGAAACGACGCAAUCACAAAAUGAGGAGUAUGACUGUGAAAGAAGACAAUAUAUCGGUGUCGUGUUGUAACACGAGUAUACCGUGAAAAUAUAAAGAAAGGGGACUUUUAUUAAUGUUCAGUUACCUCGAAUAUUGGAAGCAACGACCAACUCCAAUGCAAAUACUGAGUGGCCAGGUUCAGUCACCCCGUUACAGUCAGCCGGGGCAUACUGAAAUGCUCCGUUCGAUUCCAAUAACGGGAGUCAGUAGGAAGAGAAAGGACCAAUUCACACGACGGGUGAGCUUGGUUCGAAGAGCCAAUUGGAUCCUAUUCUCUCCUUAGAGCCCUCUCCUUGUUUUAUAUUAAAUAUUAUUUUAGGACCUAAACAUUACAAAGUCUCUGCCUUGUUAGAUUCAAGAGCCUUAGCGUGUUUUUUAGAUGAAGAAUUUACUAAAAGACAUAGCAUAUCUUUAGUAAAGAAAACUAAACUUGUUCAUGUAGAAGUCAUAGGUGGUCGUCCAUUGUCUUCUGGAGAUAUUACUCACGAAACCCUUCCUAUAGAAGUAAUAAUCAAUGGUCAUAAUAGUUUUGUAGUAUUUAAUAUCAUUAGAUCUCCCUCUAAUCCAGUCAUUUUAGGUUUAUCGAGGUAAGAAAAAUACAACCCUCAAAUAGAUUAGAUUUUUUGAACUCUUACUUUUUCUAAAAGUAUAACUAUCAGUGUAGUUAAUUAAGUCGAGAGUCAUAAGUCCAGUUCAAUUAAACCCGUAUUUAUAGGUGCAAAAGCUUUCUUGCAUGCUGCUAUGAAAGAAUCACCAUAUAUUAUUUAUGCCACACGCAUUUCUACUGGUGAAAAGACUUCAAGUGGCAUUCCAAGCCAAUAUCAAGAAUUUCAAGAUGUAUUUGAAAAAAAGAAUGCGGAUACACUCCUAGAACAUCGUCCCUAUGAUUGCUCAAUUGACCUUCAAGAAGGAGCACAACCGCCAUUCGGACCAAUCUACAGUUUAUCACAAAAUGAGUUGGCUGAACUCAAGGAGUAUAUUGAAGAAAAUCUAGCCAAGAAUUUCAUACGCCAUUCUAAAUCUCAGGCAGGAGCUCCAAUUCUAUUUGUGAAGAAAAAAGAUAGAUCAUUGCGGAUGUGUGUUGAUUAUCAAGGACUCAACAAGAUUACCAUCAAGAACAGGUAUCCACUACCUUUAAUAUCUGGACUUCUUGAUCAGCUGAAUCAAGCUAAGAUCUAUACAAAAAUAGAUCUUCGGAGAGCAUACAAUCUAGUACACAUCAAAGAAGGAGAUGAAUGGAAGACUGCGUUUCGAACUAGGUAUGGACAUUUUGAAUACAACAUCAUGCCUUUUGGACUUACAAAUGCACCAACAGCUUUUCAACAUCUAAUGAAUGAUGUUUUUUGAGAGUUUUUGGACGAUUUUGUGGUCUGUUAUCUAGACGACAUCUUGAUCUAUUCUUAGAAUCCAGAAGAACAUGAACUUCAUGUUCGUCGUGUGUUACAAAAAUUAAGAGAUGCAGGAUUCUAUACCAAGAUAGAAAAGUGUGUAUUCCACACUAUUCAAGUUGAUUUCUUAAGUUACAUCAUUUCAAAUGAGGGACUUAUGAUGGAUCCUAAGAAAGUUCAAACUAUUAUAGACUGGAAGAUACCAAAAACGGUAAGAGAUGUUCAAUGUUUUUUGGGAUUUGCCAACUACUAUCGGAUCUUCAUCAAAGACUUCUCUCGAGUUGCAGCUCCACUUACACGUUUGACUUGUAAAGACAAACUCCAAUGGAAUCAAGAAGCGGAAGUUGCUUUUGAAUCUUUGAAGACAGCGUUUGUUUCUGCACCAAUCUUGUAUCGUGUUGAUUUUUCCAAAGCAUUCUUUAUAGAAACAAAUACAUCAGACUUUGCUCUAGGUGCGAUUUUAUCACAAAUGGGAAUAGAUGACAAACUUCAUCCACUAGCCUUUCAUUCAAGAAAAUUCUCAAUAGCAGAAAUCAAUUAUGAGAUCCACGAUAAAGAACUUCUUGCAAUUGUGGAUUCUUUUCAAGAAUGGCAUCAAUAUGUAAAAGGCGCUUCUAGUCCAGUCACCAUGUAUACAGAUCACAAGAAUCUCGAAUAUUUUAUAUCAGCAAGCGUAUUAAAUCGUCGCCAAGCUUGUUGGAGCAUGUCUUUAUCAAGAUUCGAGUUCAUCAUUACUUAUCGGCCAGAAAAACAACAAGGUUUGUCCAAUGCCUUGUCUAGACAUUCUUAUCUUACACCAAAAGAAGGUGAUGUAGCUUUUGAGCAACAAAGAACGGUUCUCUUGAAGUCGGAGCCAUUUCAUCUUCGAGCAAUAAAAUAAACAUUGACUAUUGAUUUAACUUUUUUCAAGCAAGUCCAAUUAAGUAUGUCUUCAGACCUUCUUGUUCAUGAUAUCAAGAAUAAUUCUUCUAAAUCUCAUUAUCCCUCUAAAUUUGAAUUCAAGAACAACCUACUCUAUUUUGAAGGACGCCUAUAUGUUCGAAAAGGAGAAGCACGUUUACGUGUUCUUCAAGUUUGUCACGACUUCCCAGCAAUAGGACAUUUUGGAUAUAAUAAGACUUUGGAGCUGAUAUCUAGGGAUUUUUGGUGGCCUCAAAUGUGGAAGGCAGUUAAAGAUUUUGUACAAUCAUGUGAUAUUUGCUCAAGAUCGAAAACUCCUCGUCAUCGACUUUUUGGACUUCUUCAGCCAUUAUCCAUUCUAGAACAAUCAUGGUCUUCUAUUUCUAUGGACUUCAUCACGGAUCUUCUAAUCUCAGGUUCUUAUGACUCUAUAUUCAUGAUAAUAGAUCAUUUUACCCAGAUGGCACAUUUUGUACCAUGUAAAAAAUCUAUUACAGGUAAAGAAACAGCUAAGCUCUUUCUUGACAAUAUCUAUCGCUAUCAUGGAUUAUCCAAAGAUAUUAUAUCAGAUAGGGGAACUCAAUUUGUAUCAAGAUUUUGGCGGACUCUUUUCAAGAUUCUUAAAGUGGAUAUAAAACUAUCUUCGACAUUCCAUCCUCAAACUGAUCGACAAACAGAGCGUGUUAAUCAAGUUUUGGAGCAAUAUUUAAGAUGUACCAUUAAUUACCAAUAAGAUGAUUGGACAACUCUUUUGCCAUUGGCAGAGUUUGCUUACAAUAACACGAUACAUUUUUCUACAAAACAAACACCUUUCUUUGCUAAUUAUGAUUACCAUCCACAACUUGAUAUUUUUGACUUUUCAAAAGUUGAUAAUCCUGCUGCGAAAGAUUUGGUAAUUCAUUUAUCAGAGCUACAUGCAACAAUGAAGGCGCAGUUAAAAGAGGCUCAAGAACAACAAAAGGUCAAUGCGGAUGUCUAUCGAAAGGAACAACCAUCAUUCAUCUUGGGUGAUAAGGUAUGGCUACUUCGUCGUAAUAUCAAGACCACUCGUCCUUGUGACAAAUUGGACUAUCGAAGGCUAGGACCAUUUUCUAUUUCUGCACAAAUCAAUCUAGUUGCAUAUCGUUUACAUCUACCGGAGUCAAUAAAAAUCCAUCAUGUAUUCCACGUGUCUCUUCUUGAACCAUACAAGUUAGUGGACAUACCAAAAAGACAACAAGCUCCACCUCCUCCUAUAGAAGUGGACAAUAAUGAAGAGUUUGAAGUAGAAGAAGUCUUAGAUUCAAGGCGGCGCCGAAAUAAAUUAGAAUAUCUUGUCCAUUGGCACGGAUAUGGUAUUAGUGAACGCACAUGGGAGCUAAUAAAGAAUCUUACAAAUGCAGCAAAGGCGGUGGAGGCUUUUCAUCGACGACAUCCAUCAAAAUCAAGAUAAAAACCUUCUUUAUAAAAGAAACAACAUUUAGGCAAGAUAACAUUCUACUUUCAAUUCUUGUUCGUAGCUUCUUUAUAGUAGUGACGCUUAGGAGAUGGAGAACCAAUAACCAGCAGAUUCGACUCAAGAACCUUCAUUUGCUGACCUGCUGAACGAGACAUUACGAUUGUCACAACCUUCAAGAUGACGCAAUCGAGAUGAAGAUCUUCAAGAACGACAUGUUCUUCCUCGAAUAGAUGGCGAGAUACAACGCGUUUGGUAUCACAAUUUGGGAAGGGACUCCCGAUGUUUGGUGAUUAUACUAGAGGUAGGAACAACUCCUGAUGGUGCUCCAAAUAUUCUAUUCGAAAGAAGUUACGAAGGUCUCAACAAUGAUUAAAUAACUGGGUGGUCUUCCCGCCCUAGUAUGGGACACUACCGACGGUUGAGUGGCCCUAUCAAUCAUCUUCAAAGAGAACAAAGAUCAGAGUAUGUGGUAAAUACAAUUCAUCACAUCAUAGAUUUCCUCAACAUAUGAUGACCGCUCCUUGUGGAACUCGUCCCUAGAAGGGGAGAUAAUGUCACGGACAUAAUCAUGUAAGCUAGUAAUUACAUAUACAAAUAGGGAGAAGUAAGUAAAUAUAGGUAAAAAUAAGUUAAUUCUAUAGUAUUUAAUAUGAUAGCUUCCUAGAAGCUUCAUAGACGCUGCUUUGACUUCAUAGGUGUCUUUAAUUGAUUUUUUGGAUUAGAAACGGGGUCAACAAGUUGGCCAUGUGCCACACAUGUUGUUAGCUUGAAGAUCAAGCUAACUAUGUGGUCCACACGUAGAAAAACUUGCCUUGUAAGUCAAGGCAUGUGUCCUACAAAGUCAACACAUAUUAGAGGUCCUAUAGAACGUCGCCAUGUAGCCCCUAGUUAGAUAGUAUAUAUAGAGACAAGAGUGAAGGCUUCUUCACUCUUGUCAACUCCUUUCUUGAUUCUAGUCUAGUUUCAAGGGCCUCUAGUUUUCUUGUCUUUUGGCAAUAGCCAUUUUAGUUUCUCUUUCAAUAUAUAUACUUGUUUAUAUAUAUUUUGUUACCUCUCUUUGAGUGAAGGCUCACUUGUCUGAAUUAUUUUUUCAUCAAGUUCUUAUCCUUGACAACAAUAUGGAAAAGAUGGAUUGAUUGAAGGCCAAAUUAGAGAAGGAAUAUGAGAUGAGUGAUUUGGGAGAGUUGCACUAUUGCUUGGAAGUAGAAUUUGUAAGUGAUCAUGGUAACAAGACGAUUGCAAUGAGUUAAACCAAGUACAUUGAAGAAGUAUUGAAACGAUUCAAUAUGGAGGAGUGCAAGCCUAUUGGAACACCCUUGGAGGCAAAUUUGAAGUUGAUGAAGUUCACUGAUGAGGAGUUUACACAAGUUGAAGGUGAGAUGCAAAGUAUUCCAUACAAAGCAGCAGUAGACUCACUCAUGUAUGCAAUGGUGGCUACAAGAGUGGAUCUUGCAUAUGCGGUGAGUGUUGUAAGCCAAUACAUGUCUAAGACUAGACCAAUGCAUUGAAAAACGGUAAAGAGGAUUUUGAGGUACUUAAAAGGUACAAAAGACUUCAAAUUAUGUCUUGGUAGUAAGAACAUUGACUUACAAGGUUAUUGUGAUGCGGAUUGAGUUGAAGAUGUAAAUGAUAGAAGAUCCACAACGGGAUAUGUAUUCUUUAUUGGAGUGGGAGCUAUUUCAUGGAAUUGCAAGAGACAAUCUACUAUUACAAGAUGAACGAUGGAGGCAGAGUACAUGGCAGCAAGUCAUUGUGCAAUGGAUGUGUAUUGGAUAAGGCAACUCUUAGAAGACAUUGGUCUAGUGCAACUAGAAGCAAUCCUCAUUAUGUGUGAUAAUCAAGGAUGUCUUGCAUUUGCUAAGAAUCCAAAAUACCACUCAAGGAUCAAGCAUAUUGAUGUUUAACAUCAUUUCAUACAAGAGAAGAUUGAAGAUGGAAUAAUAGGUAUGAAGUAUUGUGCUACAAAUGACAUGCUUGCUCAUGUGCUUACAAAGGCAUUAGUCAAGGAUAGACAUCAUGACUUGAUUCAGAGAUUAGGAUUAAAAGCUUUUUGAAUAUUAGUAAAGUGGGAGUGUUGAAGAACAACGAGUACUUGCUUAGUUACAAUCACAUAAAGUUUAAGCAUAGUAUGUUGGUAAUAGUAAAAAAGCAGCAAAGAGGUAAAGUAAGUUAUUGUGGUACUACCAAGGCUUUAGUAAGAUGAGAUAGAAAUGGAUGUAAUAUCAAAUGGAUGGAAGUUGUCUCGUUGGUGGAUAAACCACCACCUAUAAGUAAAGAGUGUUGGAAGUAAGAAUUAUCUUCCUCCACACUUCUCUUAGAGUACAAUCCUUGUUGAUGCUAAGCGUUUGUAGCCUUUAGACUUCUCUUUUUCAAUACACAUGAGCCAAAUUACUUUACUAUUAAAUAUAAAAUAUAAUAGCUUAUAUCAAGAUUGUGAAAAUUAUAGAGAACAUUAAAAAGAAUCAAAAGUAAUAAUUUAAUGAAUGUUUUUAGCUUAAUUUGAUACGACCUCUUAAGUUUUUUCAAAAAGCACCACUUGAUGUGGGUCCAACACAAACUUCAAGAAACAAUACUAUUCCAGUCACAUUAAUAGAAAAGUCCCUUCCACCUCGUAUUUGUCUCCUUGUGAUUUCAUUAUUGAUUUUUUUUGGUUCAAAACUAAUUAAGGUGUGCUUCUUAAUUCAACCAAUCAAAUUCUUUGAAAAUUGUGGCUUCUAGCUUUCUCCAGUAUACUUACGAAAAACUCCUAAGUAUCAAAAUAAGCAGGAUUUUGAUACUUAUCAAUAAACUCCAUGGAUUGGCUGAGUGGUAUGUGUUAGAGCAACUUAGCAGUUGGCUGGCUGAUCAGGUGGCAAAGAGUGAUCUAUGUUUCUCGUGAUGUUUGUUGCUUAUGGGUCGUGUUCCUGGCGCUGUCCUUCUGCUGCUCCUCCUCCACAGUCCAACACCAACAACAACAUAUGGUAGCGGUGUUAUCUUUCUGCAACAUGGUCACUGAUGAGCUGAAUCCGUAGUGGGCCCUGGUAGCAUCAUAAUUCCAGCUAAUGACAUCGAAUCCAGGAUAUUACACACACACACUUCUUAUCCACAAAUAGUGUCCGUUGCUUCUGCGGCUGUUGCGGCGGUUUUUUUAUCGGCCCAUUAUCGCGUUAUUUCCUGCUGCGACGGUGCUUUCUCGUGUUUGUGAAUGCUAGUUCCUGACAAUUCUCUGCUCUCAUGGGACACCACGAUAGUCUAGCUUUCAGGAUUGAGAGGAUCAGCGAGUUGCAAUCGUAUUGAGGCUGUUGUAGCUGGAUGGGCAACGUAACCGCCAACGUCACACGCCGCCCCUGAUACUCAACCACAGUAUAAAUAGUGCUUGGAGACGGCGUGUUGAAGUAUUUCGAAGCCGAAGUAUGUAUCACUUCGUGUAAACCUACCAUUGGCAUUCGGAUCAGUGUGUAGAAUGCAUCAGUUAGCUAGUAAGGGUUCGGCGUGGAACACCGCCGCUUGGGUGUGGAAGGAUCACAUAGAAUUGUAGCCGUUGUCAACGAUUUCUAGAAUGGCGACAUUGGGAUAUGAAGCUCAGAGUUGGAAAGAAGGAAUUCUGGUGGGACACCUCCUGGUUUUUAUCGCUGCAGCCUACUGCUAUUGGAUAGUUAGAAGAUUCUCAUUAGGGUUUCCUCGCCUCGUCGCGUCCACUCCAGCAUUGGCAGUGUAUACACUCGUACCCUUUAUUUGGAGCCACGACACUCAUCUAACUGGUGUAGGUUGUUUCUACUGCAUAGUCACAUGGAUAGCUUCGUUCAAGGUGUUGCUUCUCUGCUGGGGUACUGGUGCUGGGUGUGACCCCUGGGUAGAACCAAUCUUCCCGAGGUUUGCAAUUGUGAUGAUGUAUCCUGCUCACGUGAAGCAGACUGGAAAAGUGGUGAAGCGCGUCCCUGUGAAGUACUCUUCACUGAUAGAUUACGUCUCCAAGUCGGAGACAUGGUAUAUGCUUUUUGCCAGAUCUGUAGUCAAAUCCGUCGUACUGGCUUUACUGCUGCAAAUAACUGUGUCAAGUCUAGACACCCUCCCGUUGAUUGUCCUCCACCUUCUAACAACGCUCCAGUUAUAUCUCUUUGCAACGACUUUGCUCGAAGUUCUGGCUGCAGUGGCAAACUUCUUCUUUGGUGUCACGAUCGAACCCCACUUCGAUAAUCCAUUUGUCUCAGUCUCGCUCCAAGAGUUCUGGGGUCAGCGGUGGAACCUUCUUGUGAGCAGCUGCCUCAGGGAAACAGUGUACAAUCCCGUUCUACACCUUCUACAGCGUUCUGAUGAUAAGCCGGAAACGUCUGACCAGGCUCUGUCCACCAACCUGGCUGAGUCGGAAGAUCUAUUUCUAACGCGCCGCUCCAAAAGAUCCUCUGGAGUAACUAACACAGAUUUUUCAAAGGCUCAAGGGGCUAGGCGAAAGUUCGACUUAGAUAAAUUAAUAGCACUGCUUGCGUCGUUCUUGGUGUCUGGAAUAAUGCAUGAGGGGGCAGUAUACUAUAUGACUUGGAAUGCUACGUGGCGGAUGACAAGCUUCUUCGUCGUUCAUGGGGUGGCCGUUGCCUUGGAGACAGCUUGGAAAAUUCAAUACCCUAAGACAAGGCCGUCAAGGGUUGUCUCUACGCUUCUCACGUUAAGCUUUACUUUUAUAACAGCGCAUUGGUUGUUUUGGCCACCAGUAGACUGCAAAAUUGCCAUCAUAUCUUCGGAACUGCUGAAUCUUCGGUUCUGAUGCGGCAUUUAUCUCGAUGCAGUAGGUGUGUCGAUCACUUGUGAUGAUGUCGAAGGUGAUGUACAACACAAGUUCUUCAACAUUGUAUCCAGGCAAUGAAUUCCUAGAAAACAAGGGUGACGUCGAAAGACUAUUGACUAGUCCAAGUAGCUAGAAAGUGUGCAGAUAGAGUUCGAACAUUACUUUUCAACAAUUUAGGACACAAAAACCAUGACAAGGAGAUGAGACUAUACUCCAACAAAAGUAUUACUCAAUCGAAAGAAAUAUCUUUGUUUCAGAAGCCAAAGAUAUCCAUCAGUAUGAAUGCAUCUCAUGUGAACUAAAACUGGCUCACCAUUGGACCACGAUGACCACAAACCGUCCGAUGCUGAAGGACGUAGAUAUGACUACAGCUACUGCACCGUAUUCCAGCGUUGAAUUGGACAUUGUGCAAAACCACGGGUGCUGUAGAAAACUUGCGUAUAGAGUGUCUGACCGGAACCACGUCACAGAUUUGAUUCUCGCCUAUUGUAGGCAAUUUAUUGAUUCUUCUCGCAGUGUUGUACAACAAACUCUUUUGUCACAUGCUGGCUUGUACAACAUGCCCUUUACCAUGGUCGUAAAAUCUAGUACCAAUUCUAAAGUAUUGGUCGUCAGGCAUCACUCCAGGGUGACGAAGAACCAACGCUUUGAUACCCAUCGUACACUCAGCACCUAUCUAAAAGCCAAAGAUGCUGAGGUUUGCAGAGUUGUACAGCGUUAGUUUCGGCUUUGCAGAGUUGUACAGCCUUAGUUUUGGCUUUGCAGAGUUGUACAGCCUUAGCCAAAGAUCCGACCGUAAAACCAUUUCGGAUGUGUACAGGUGGACUUAAAUGCAAACAGAAAGUUCAUUAAAAAGUUUCAGUGUGUGGGCAGUUUGAUUUUUCUUAUUUUUUAAACUUGUUGGGAAUUCAGUAAACAUAGGUGAAAAGACAUUCCUGUGCAGUCUGAACCUAAUUAAUCAUCAGGUUCGUUAACUGACGGUGUUCCGUGCACCCAGAAAAUGCACUCAUUAAGUAGUCUUAUCCUGAUCUCUUGAAAUACCGAAGAGAAAUACCAAAGCUACAUGAAUACCAGUGCUCACAACAAAAGCACUUGCAUUGAUCCAAAGCUUACAAACCUCAACUUUCUUACAGCUCACAUGAACGAAGGAUUGUGACAUAGCGCCAUAUUAGAAAGAAUAACCGCCACGUUACAAUUGCCUAGUUCAUUUCUACCGAAAUUCUCAGAGAUAUGGAAGAUGCUGAGAUUUGCAGAGUUGUACAGCCUUAGUCUCUUGGACUCCACUCCAAUGGAAAAUUCACUAAUACCGCAGAAGAUCCCAGAAAUUGGAACACUAGGAUAAACGAUUCAACCAGGGGAGGUUCGUCAAGUUAAAGCGAAACAGGUUUACACGCAAGGUUUAGUCAAAAAAUAGAUGCACGUUGUAGUUGUGCCUGUGAGGACCUUUACCCUUCGGAUUUGUGUCUUGUUGAGGUCUUAAUGGUGAAUUGAAUGCGGUUUUGUAGAUACUUAUAAUUUUGGUGAUACUUAGGUGACAUGCACUGUUUCGUUAUUUUUUUUUAAUCAUUUUUGUUGGUAGAAGAUAAUUCAGACGUCUGUCCAAAUUGUUGUCCAAUUAGUGAUUGUAUUUUUGGCUGUGGUUGUUUGUUGGAAUGUAUUGCAUUUGAGGCUUUCCUAGACCAAAGAUAAGGAAGACUAGAAUGCCGGUUAGUAGACUUUGUUGGAAAUGCAUCUUUGCUAGGAUCCUUGUACUUAGUUCUGCAAAUUGGAUCUUAGAAAAGAUCGCACUAGAAUGGUGUGUGUUGAAGAGAUGAAUUUUUAUGUGGUGUUGUAUGUAGCAUCAUUUGUUGUAAGUGCCUAUUUGUGUUAAUUCCCUUGAUCUUGUAUAAAGUGAUUCGUUGACUAUGAAUUCCACUUAAUUUAGGAGUCCCUGAGUGAACAUAUAUGACUAGCCAAAAGCAAGACACUUUAACAAUCCUCUGAUUUCUUGUCUUUGAAUUUGAAUGUUCAUACACAUCACUUUGCCUUGAUUAGACCAUUCUAGCUAUAAACACUUGGUUUUGUUCUUUGUAUAAGAUCAAAAAAUGUAAAAGGCCAUGUAGUCUAUUUGUCUAUAAAAUUCUAAGACAUUUAAAAGUAUACAAAUUUCUAAUUCCAAGAUUCGAGCUCAAUGGUUCUUUAGUUGAUGUAGUUAUUUUAUUGAUUUAGAUCAAUUGAUCAUUUAUGUCUUUGCAAGUGAAUUUGGCCAGUUUUCAUAACCAAUGCCAUCUUGAACUUUGACUAUUACACAGAGAUCUUGGAUACUAAAACAAAAGGACAUGCUUUUUUAAAAACUCAAAUUAUGAAGUUGAACUUAUUUCAAUUGAAGUAUCUGAACGAAAAGGUCAAAGAAACAAAGUCCUUUCUACUGAAUAAAUAGCACAUACUCCUUUCUAUAUACAAUGGAGACAACAGCCAAUGCAAAGCUUUGAUAUACAUACAUUUCAUAGUGAUGCAAGCCGCAAAGAUUAUAUAAGAUUGCUGCUGCGAGAGAGAGUUAUGGCUGCAACUGGCGAUCAUUCUAGCACAUGUCAAAGAGCAUAUUUUAGAUAUUGUAGUGGAUUUAGGAUGGUAGAGGUCAAUGGUCCAUAUUGAAAAUACCUCAGUGACGUGGAUGCAAAAAUGGAAAUUGAUUAGAAGCAGGAUUGAUGGAAUGUACAAAAUAUGACUUUCAAAAGAUACUAGAGAGCUUUUGUUCUAGCAAAAAUAUACUGAAAAAGGAGACCAACAAAGAUAUUCAUCUGCUAUUGUUAAAACUAGAAGAGAUUGAGACCUUAUAUGUUGGUAAAAAAUUUUCAAAGCAAAAGCAAUAAUAUUUGCUUGCAGUUCUUGUCAAGUCUCUAUUGAAUAACUCCAAGUCUUCACUAAAUAGAACCUAGAGUUGAUACUAAAAAGGGAACUAAAUCUUCAGCAGUGAUACAAAUUAUCAAAAUUGUUGGUAUUGGUAUGAUGAUUUAAGUGGCCAAAGUAAUAUAUUGCAUGAAUAGUAAGGAGGUUAUUUAUUAUGAUUUGAAGCGCCAGAAUAUGUUGAACAAUUAUCUACCCAGAGAGAAGGGACUUCAGCUGAGUGCUUAAGGAUAGUUGUGUGGAAAGCUAGCAAACUUUGGACUUACAAAAACCAAGGCCAUGAGCUAGACUCUUGAAAUAUAUACAACUUACAUGGUUGCCAAAUUUUUAUUUUGUGCCAAAGAUCUUCUUUAACGAAGAAAUUAUUAGUAGGAAGUUCCUUAGGACAACAAGUGUUUAGAAUUUCAAUAUUAUAUUGAUCAAGGUUCUUUGUAGAAAAUUGCUCUUUUCUCAACUUUAGAAUGGACUGUUAAUGAAACAAUUACAUACUAAAAUAAAAAGUAGUAUAUACCUAUACUUUUGGAUAAUUAUAUGAUUUUUUUGAAGACCAUGAUUAAAAGUUGCUGCUAUAGUUGUCCUUAGAAACGGCCAAACAACCAAAUUUUUUGGAUUUAUGGAUGAUGUUAUGAAUUGCUCAAGUCUAGAGCUUAUAUAUCAUCAAGAAGGACCACAACCUUUUUACUUAUAUGCCAAAGGGUCCUCUGCUUGAACCAUAUCCUUGUUCUCUAAGAUGUUAUCCACCAACUAUUUUUGAUUCAGGGAAGAAUUUGAAUUUAAUUCUGUAGCUCAAACAAUGAUUUAAUUAUAUGAAGGGUGAUCUCUUUGAUAAGUGUACUAUUUGAGCAUCUUUUGUAUCCUUAUUGGCUAUAAAGUAAUAUAUAUUAUUUGCUCUUAUUAGAAAAAAUUGAAGAAUUUUAGAGGUUUUUUGAAUCAUUAGUUCAUUGUGUUGUUUUGAUUAUUCUCACAUCAAUUUUGACAACUUUUGCAAGCAUAGUUGAUUACUCAAAUCUUACCACUUUCUAACAUUAGAUGGAUUUUUUUCCAAGAUAAAUGAAGGUGUAUGGAAAUAUUUUAAUAUUAUUUAUUAUUAAUAUUUUCUACUUAUAGUUAGUUCAAAUAAUAUUUUAAUAUUUAAUUAAUACAAUCAAAUAAAAAUAAAUUAGUUAAAAAAUGAUUUUGUUAAUGUUCAAAUUAUUUUGUAGCUAAUCUGAUAUAAACAUAUUUAUUUAUAUAAACAUCUUAUUUGAACGAUGAAAUCUUAUUUAGAUUCAAGUAUUGAAUUCACUUUGACAUCCUAAAUUAUAGACUUUGUGAUUUAUGUGUAGCAUUGUCAUUCUAUUCCUUUCUCUAAAUACAAAUCUUUGACAAACAUCCUAACAUAAUAUAUCUUCCAAAUGCAACUAAUGACUUUAAUAUUUAUUUUUCUUCUUUGAACUAAUAAAGAAAUGUUUGUAAAUAUUGUUUGUCAAAUUAUCUAAUUUCUUAUUUUGUAUAUAAAACUUAAUUGGAAAUGUAAUACUUCUUAUAAUUUUUUAUUAAAUAUUAUCAAAUAAUAUUUGAUGUAAUGUUGGCUUUAAAUAUAUCAGCUAGCAUUAGUCAAUUAAUGCAAAUUCAUCUAUUCAAAUAAGAUUUCAUUGUUCAUAUUUCUACUCUUAAGCAAGAUUGCAUUGUCAAUCAAAAUUUUAAGCUUUUGUCAAACUCAAAAAUAGAAGUGAUUUUCUUUAAAAGAAAUAUUAGAUCAAUAGAUAUGUCUUAUGAAAAUACAUUAUGAAGGAGAAUAAGCCUAAUAUAUGGUGGCUCCAACAAUAGUUACUAAGCAUUUAAGAGGUAAAAUUUGAAUGUUAUUUCUUAAAAAUAGCAUCUUUAAGUCUAAAAUUUAAAAGAAUUUUCAGAAAUUACUAAUAAUAACUUUAUUUAAGUAGAUAUCUAUGAAGUUUUGAUUUAUUUAGAUAUAAUAUUUUAACUUAAUAAAUUUUUAUUUUAAAAAUAAUAAUUUUUAAUUUAAUAUUAUAUUUGAAAUAUAUAAUGUGACAUUCUUUGAUAUGUUAUAGUGAAGAUUGAUGCGAAUGACAAAUAAAGAAAUAUCUAAUUAUAUUCGUAGGACAUAUCUUGAGAUAUAUAAUAACUAAGCACUUAAUUGUGAUCCUUGACAAAAAGGUAAGAUUAGCUAAAGCCUCAAAUACUAGUAUAGAAGAUGUCCAAACCAAUGUGGCAAAGGCUCUUGUAGAUAAAAGUUGUCUGGUGGCAUGUUUCUUCUACUCUCUUCUAUGAAAAAGAUUGAUAUCAAGGAAAAAUCUUUUGAAGUAUGUAUUUAGAUUCUUAACUUAGAGUGACUUUAGAAUAGAAGAAGGUUCUACAAUAACAACUUAUUUAUGAUAUGUAAAUUUGAUUUUAAAUUAAUUUAGAGAAAUGGAUGAAUAUCCUAAAGACUCAAGUAUAGCACACAAAAUUUUAAAGGGAUUGCCUAAGGAAUUUGAUAUAUUCACAAAAAUUGUAAGAAAUAAGAAAAUCAUAUUAAAUUUUAACAUAUUUAUUAAAUUUUUAUAAAUUAAAGGAAUGAUAUUCAAAAAACUCAACUCUAGUCAAGAUGUAGAAGAAAUAUUAAUAGUUAAAUUCAAAGAUGUAUUACAUUAAAAUGAAAGAUAUGAAAGCUACAUUAAAGAAAUACCAAUAUAAUAUAGCAAUUCAAGUUAUAAUAAAUAUGGAUCAAGCUUUGAUAGUAGAAUAAACUUGAAAAGGCAAAGAACAAAUCUUUGAAGAGAAAUAAAGCCUCAUGAUCAUUUAUUAAACUGCGAUAGAUGCAAUCUACAAAGCCAUUGUACUUGAUUAUAUACUAUUCUUAUAAUAAUAGUUGAAAUUUAUAUAUUAAUAUCUAUAAUAUAUAAAAUAAUAAAAAAUAAUCAAAUAAUGUUGAAGAUCAGCAAAUACUUACUUAGAGAUUAAACAUAAUAUGUUGCUAAUAGUCAAAAGGUAGCAAAGAAUUAUAGGAAGUUAUUAUAGUAGUACCUAAGAUUUAGUUGGAUGAAGUAGAAAUGGAUGUAAUAUCAAAAGGAUGAAAGUUGCCUUGUUGAUUAGCAAACCACUACCUAAAAGUAAAGGGUGUUGGAAGUAAGAGUCAUCUUUUUCCACACUUCUCUUAGAGUAUAAUCCUUCCUGAUGCUAAGUAUUUGUAGCUUUUAGAAUUUUUAUCUUCAAUAGGUUAUGGAUCCACUCAUAUUUACUUGAAUGUUUUGAAAUUCUUUGAAGUGGCUAUUGAUGUGUGGAUUAGAUCAAAUUGUUGUUACUGAUGUUAGGAUUUAGAAGUACCUAACUUUCAGAUUCAGAUCUAGAUCUAGAUCUUGGUUUGCUCUUACUUGUAGUUAAGAGUAUUUUGGUGUUGGUGUUUGGUUUUUCAUUUUAAGACAAAGUUAUAGAAGACUUGCAUUGUGCUAUUGUUGAAAUAGAUCCUUAGUGCUCUAACUUUGUAGUUUCAUGUCUAAAGUUGUUGAUUGUACUUAAAAGGCCUCUCACGGUGUAUAGAGGUGAUUUUUGAGUAUAAGAGUGAUAUUUGAGUAGAAAAUCAGAUUUGAGACACUUAGAUAGGUCAUCAGACUUGUGAAAAAUCUUAGAAGUGAAAUUGAGAGUGUUUUUGAGAGUAAGAACACUAGUUUGUUCACAAAGAAGGAUUCUCUGAUUCUAAGGCAGUAAAACUUUCUUGUUGAUUUUGAGAGCAUUAGGACUUCUUCUUACAAUCUUAUUUUAAUACAACUCUUUCUUAGAUAUGGCUUCAAGUAAAGGUGAAGGAUUGAGAAUUAUUGAAAAGUUUAGAAGUAAAAAUUUCUACUAUUGGAAGGUAAAAAUAGAACUUUUGUUAGCAUCUUUGGAUCUUUUGGAUAUUGUAGAUGAAAGUGAAGAGGCUCCAAGCAUAGAUGCUGAUAUGAAUGAGAAGAAGGAGUUCA
rnacentral:lncRNA from 1 species